rnacentral:lncRNA from 1 species
AAGUGCUUGCUGCAGAUCACAUGUUAGUGAUUAAUCAAUUGUGUGCCUUUUUCUUAAUCGGAUAAACAUCCGCCUUUUGAUAGCUGUUGUUUGGUGUAAUGAAAUAAACAUAGUUCUCCAUUAUAGAGUCAGAAACAUGUAGCUCUCAGAGCAUAUUUCCUAGUACUUGGAUUGGGACUUGAGCAGUCUUAUUACUCAUAAAAUGUACGUGGGUAGUCCACAGCAGAAUAGUGGAUAUACUCCCGGGGAUUGUUCAGGUUGAGUACAAUGUAGAAUCAGAAUACUGAACUAUGCGUUGUGGGGGUCAACAAAGUGGAUAUAAAGUGAUUGGGGGGAAUACUUUCGUAAGGUUUUAAAGCCUUUAUAUGUUUUGGUUGUGUCGAAACUUCAAAAUUACCGGGCCUUGUAGAAUAGGAACUAGAGGAACAGGCGUGCUUUGCCGUGCCUGCUUAUAUAGUUUUAUUUCGAAUAUUGCUUUUGGCUCUAGGGAAUAUAUACACCUGCGUGCGAAAAAAUAUAUUUUGGCUAGGUUAUAUAUUUUGGAAAAGAUAGAUGUGUUCAUUGUCUCGCCCAAAUAGUACCUACAAAGUUUUAGAAGGAAAGCUUAAAGCAUUUUAAGCUGUGAAAAAAAACAAGUCGAACGACAAAUGUUACCUCCAAAUUAAUGUUACACUUAGUUUUGUUUUUCUUCACCAACGAAGCACUGCUAUCCUAUUCUACAUGAAAAUUGGCAAGCACACUUGUGUUACACUAACAUAAACAUCUACAAAAAAAUUAGAACUUUUAGAAUUUAUUUACUAUUUGUUUGGGAUCCGAGUUUAGAAUUCAGAAUUUUAUACUAACAUGCUCCCUUGUGAAUAGUAAAUUCAAAAAAAAAAUUCUUUCAGAGCGACCUGAAAUUGUGCAUAUAUAUUCAUGUGGGCUCAUAAGUAAAGUCUGACAGAUGAGCAAGUGAAUAAUUAGUGAAAGCAAGUUGGUAGUACAUAGUCGCUUAGAAAUUAUGCAUGAUCAGUGCUAUCUUUUGUCAAAUCAUGUCAGUGUUUUGUUAGGCAUGCAGAUUACUGAACACUGAAGAUAUAUUGUUUGACCUGAGUAUGGUAUUUUGAUCAGUGUGUUCCUCUAACAUUGAGAAGGGGAACACAUAUACGCGAAUAUGGGUAAAUAAUCCGGCUGAAGAUUCCUUUCGCCAAUGUUAGCUGAGUGAAACAGAUCCUCAAUGGGUGGUGUACUGAUCUGUACCUUUGCUUGGCAUAAUAGAGGUUAAAGUGUUUGAUUGUGUACACUGAUCCUUUUCUUUAGCUGAUGUCUGAAUUGAUCAAUUCUGACUUGCGGCACUAGCCCAUCCAUUCUACCUCCCUGAGAAAACAAAUAGAGAAUACUUGUUCAGGUUCUUAAGUUGUAAUGCACCAGUCCAUCCAUUCUACCUCAGUGUUGCACUGCUUACCUUGCGAUCGACCAUAACAAAGCUAACUUGUAGAGAAUGGAAGAAUCUGAACUUCCGAACUCCCAGAUGUUUUGCGCUUCUCAUACUAAGCUUCCAACGAUAAGAGCAUCUACAAUCGGACUUGACAAAUCCGGCCCCUCAAACGUCCGCGGGCGUAUCCGGACGAGCCCUCAUAUUUUCUUUCGUGCAUCCACAUAUCUUAAAUCCGUACUCUUAAAUCCAUGCACGUCGAUCAUGCAACACAAUGUUGCAUGUAAAUAGCAAUUGUUGGUAUCAAUCAUAGAUAGCGUUUACAUAAAAUUUAUUUGAAGUGCCAAACCCAAGCAUUGUCUCCUUGGUUGCCAUUGUGGAUCCACAUGUGCUCCACAAGAUCAUUGAGUAGAUGUGUGUGCAUCUGCUGAUCUCGAAGAUUUUGAUGCAUCUGCAGAAAGUUCAUAAGCUGAGCCGCAUUUUGAUCUUCCAAGAUUUCAACUUGUUCUUCGGGUGCUUUGAAAUCAUGGCUUUGGGCAACCGUGCACUUCUACUUGGCCGAGAAAGAGAGUUGGACGCAGCAAUCCCUUCUGAGCUUGAAGUAGUCGCCAUGUGCCUCCACUCCCUCGACAAUGCUCAAAAACAAUGGUUUUCGCAUGCAAAAAUGGCGACGAAACCAUAGAUCUUCCGAGAAAGCAGGUGUGGGAGCAAAGUAGUCAUUGUGCAGUAGCUUUGCUCCGGACACCCUGUUCCGGUUGAUCACUCUUCUCCCUUUGAUUGAGCCCUUAAAGUUGAGAAUAUGCUCCAGUUGCCGGUCCAUUUCCUCUUGCAUGCUCAUGAGCAUGAUCAUGUCCACUUCUUCAUCCGAAUUCGACGAAUCGAAUAACUCAUCUUGAAUCAUUUUGUCAAGCUUCAUCAGUCCAUACUCCUCGUCUGACGAAGCAUCGGAAUCCAUCGUUUACCUAAAAAAAUCACAAUAAUUUCGGCCGGUCAAUGUGUCGAACACAUCAAGCGCAAGGCGGAGCCGAAGAGUUGCCGGACGUACCACGACAGCGUCCGGGCCGGCGACGACGCCCCCCGCGGAGACGACGGGAGCGCUCUUCCGGAGCUCGUGACGGAGAGCCUAGGAACGCCUACAGAGCGGCCGUGGCGGUGGAGCGCGAGACGGAUGACACUGAGGAGGAAGAAGAGAGGAUAUAGCAAAUGGAUCCGGCUGGUCUUCGGGGUGGAUUUGGUGCAAUUUGGGGUAGGGUCGGGCUGUCGGGUCCAACGUGGCAGGUGUGCCCGGGCGCCCCCAUAUCCGCCCCAUAUUUGGGCUGGAUAUGGGGGGUGCCGGUCAGCCCAGGCGUUUGACGACUGUUUGAGGGGCCUGUUUGGGUCAAAAAAUCGUGACCGGGCGGCCCGCCCGGGCGUAUUGUAAAAGCUAGAGUUUGGGAAACUGCACGACACCCAAUACGGCUUGAGAGACUCCCAACUCUCUCAAUAGAGAUUGUACCCAAAUAAGCUCAUCCGUGGCAUUGGCAACCCCCUUGUACUCUGCUUCAGUGCUACUCCGAGAUACUGUGGCCUGCUUGCGCGUACUCCAGGCGAUCAAGUUGCGACCAAAGAAGACAACAUAGCCCCCCGUUGAUCGCCGGUCAUCUAGGUUCCCAGCCCAAUCUGCAUCAGAUAACGCCGAGAGAUCACUCAAGGAGGUAGGCCGAAGAUGCAAGCCAUAAGAGACAGUAUGAGAGAUGUAACACAGUAGCUUCACAGCUGACCAGUGUGAAGUCCGAGGAGCAUGAAGAUACUGGCACACACGGUUGACCGCAUAGAAGAUGUUCGGUCGUGUGACAAUCAAGUACUACAAACCACCAACAAUAUUUGCGGUACUCUGUAGCAUCAUCGGAAGGAAGCAAGGCACCAUCCAAGGCUGAGAACCGACCAGUCGCAGACAUAGGGGUGGUAGCAUGCUUGCAUUGCAACAUACCGGCACGUCGCAGCAAGUCCAAGGAAUACUUAUGCUGAGUGAGAGUCAGGCCAGCAGGGGACCGUGAAACCUCCAGACCAAGGAAGUAAUGGAGAGCACCCAGAUCCUUGACAGCAAAAUGACCACCCAGAGCAGACAACAGACGAUCAGCGGCAGUCACCGAGGAGCUGAUAAGAAUAAUGUCAUCAACAUAAACCAGCAGGUACAUAGUAACCUCAGGGCGAUGGAGCAGGAACAGAGACAUGUCAGCAGUGGACGGAACAAACCCAAGACGUCGAAGAAUCGAGCCUAGUCGGGCAUGCCAUGCACGAGGAGCCUGCUUAAGUCCAUAAAGCACCUUAAAAGACGACACAAAUGAUGUGGACAAGCAGGAUCAACAAAACCUGGAGGUUGCCACAUGUAAACCUCUUCCACCAGGACCCCAUGGAGAAAAGCAUUCUGAACAUCAAGCUGAGAGACCACCCUUUGGCAACAACCAAGGACAUAAGCAGAUGAAUGGUGGUCUGUUUGACAACUGGACCGAAGGUAUCCUCAUAAUCAAGACCAUACCAUUGUUUAAACCCUUUGGCCACCAUCCGUGCCUUGUAUCGCUCAAUAGAACCAUCAACAUGCUUCUUUACCUUAAACACCCACUUGGAGUCAAUGAUGUUGACACCAGACAUAGGAGGAACGAAACGCCAAGUAUCAUUCCUCUGUAGUGCCUGAAACUCCUGCUCCAUGGCACCGUGCCAAUGAGGAAUCUGAAGAGCCGCCUGAAAAUGUCGAGGCUCAGAAGUGGGGUCAGCAUCCGUCAGUGCCAUACACGCCGCAAUCCAUGCAUCCGUGCCGUCGGUGCGCUCCUUCGGCUGAACAAUAGCACUCUAACUGCGCGUAUGAGGAUGCAGAAUAGCGGUAGGCGGCAGAGGUGGCGGCGGAGACGGAGUCAAUGAAGAUGGCAAUGAUGAUGCAUACUGCUCUCCAGACGCAGAGUUAGUCGUGCCAGGCGACCGACCUGGUGAGGAAGGCGUGGACGCUGGAUCAGCAAGCGCCCGCGGGGAUGCCGACUCAGGCCCUACAGUAGAGACUGGCGCGGGCGAAGCUGGCUCGACCAGCUCGACCGUCUCAGUCGGCUCGGCCAGCGCAUGACCAGCCCCAUGCGGGACUGAGGUGUCAGGGCCCGGCUCGGCCAGCGUACCCAUGCGGGACUGAGGUGUCAGGGCCCGACUCGGCCAGCACUGUCGGCGAGCCCGAUGACGGAGGGCUGUCGCAAGCGGGCUCGGCAGAUGUCGGAGGAGACGCGGGCGGCUGCUCAUCCAGAAGCUCGAGGCAUGCUCCUCGUCCAGUACCUGCACCAUGGUUAGGUAGCAACAAGGUGGUAUAUGUAGCAUCAACAAAUUGACCAGGCAAAGGUACAACAAAUUUUUCAGGUGCAGUGGGAGUGGUGGAGGUGACUGGAAGUGCGGAAAAAGGAAAACCAUUCUCAUCAAACACCACAUCAUGAGAGAUGUAGACAUGGUUAGAGGGAACAUGAAGACACUUGUACCCUUUAUGAAGAGAACUAUAACCAAGAAACACACACUGUUUAGACCGAAACUCCAACUUUUGUUUGUUAUAUGGACGAAGAUGUGGCCAACACGCACACCCAAAGACCUUGAGAAAAGUAUAAUCAAGGAUUUCAUUCAGCAAGAGUUCAAGUGGUGUUUUCAUCUGAUGAAGUCGUGGAGUCUGUUAAUGCGAAAGCAUGCAGUGGAAAACGCAUCACUCCAAAACCGAAAAGGAACAGAGGCAUGGGCAAGCAAAGCAAGACCAGUCUCAACUAUAUGGCGAUGCUUACGCUCAGCCACACUGUUUUGCUGAUGUGUAUGAGGACAACACACACGAUGUGUAAUUCCAAGCUUAUUAAAGAAUGAAUUGAGGUUGUGAUACUUACCCUCCAAUCGGAUUGCACAUGUAUGAUUUGUGACUGAGCAGUCGCUCAACUUGCGCUUGGAAUUGCAAGAAAACAUUAAACACAUCAGACUUGCGUUUAAGAAGAUAAAGCCAAGUAAAUCGACUGUAAGCAUCAAUAAAACUGACCUGGUAAUUAUGACCACUAAAAAAGGUUUGGGCUUGGCUCCACACAUCCCAAAACACAAGUUCAAGCGGUUUAUUAACUACACGGCUCGACUCUGAAAAAGGAAGUUGAUGACUCUUGCCUUGCCGACAGGCAUCACAAACUGCAUCAACAUGUUUAUUGGACACAACUAGAAGCUCAUGAUGAUGAAGUACAUGGCAAACGAUGGGAGUGGCGGGAUGACCAAGGCGUGCAUGCCAAUGUGAUGGAGACACACAAACACCGUUGAAAGCACUAGGAGCUGGUGGCACAUCAAGUGCAUAGAGACCAUUAUUGUGUAGUCAACCUCUUAGGAGUACGUUCGUCGUGUCCCGGUCCUUAACAAAAAAAUGAAAAGGAUGAAAUUCAGCAAGAACAUUAUUAUCACGAGUAAGUUUAGGAACUGAAAUCAAACUACGUCAAACAGAGGGAACAUGAAGGACAUUAAGAAGACGUAAUUGUGUGGAUUGACGGGUAAGAAGUGAUGCCUGACCAAUAUGUGAGAUGUGCAUACCUUCCCCAUUAGCGGUGCGAACCUGAUCGUGUCCAUGGUAUCGCUCCUAUGUACAGAGCUUGCCCAUCUCACUCGUUAGGUGAUUGGUAGCUCCCGUAUCCAUGUACCAAGAUGCAUUAACCGGAUAGGAAGGAGUAUGCCCCUGUUCGUGACUUGCCAAAGCAGCAUGCUUCUCAUUACCCUUGCCAUUGUUCCCGAUCCCCAAGAAAUCGUGCUUGAAGUGACGAUGACACCGGGAGGCAAGGUGACCAUCAAGUCCACACAGCUAGCAGGGGACCUAAGCACCACAUGAAGGGCAGCAGGCACGGACUCGACCUCCCGUGGAGGUAGUGGUGUUCCGCGACUUAGGCGUGGUCGGCGGAGGUUUGCCACUAGUUGGUGGCUUGUAGGGCUUGCCCUUCCCACGAUUUGCAGCGUUGGCGGAAGGGUAACUCGGCGUAGAGCGACGAGCCUGGAUGCAUUGUUCCGUGGCAAGAAGGCGUGCAUACAACUCACGCAGCUGGAUGGGAGUGUCACGACCAUUGAUAUUCUCCACCAAAUUAUCAUAGUCGUCACUUAGUCCAUUGAGCACAUAAGAGGUGAACUCCUCCGAACUAAGAGCCUUGCCGAUGGAGGCAAGUGUGUCAGCCAUACCCAUCACCUUGUUGAAGUAGUCAGUGAUGGUGAGGUCAGGAAGCUUCCCCUCCCAAGCGCAGUGUUAAUAGCAUAAGCACGCACCUGGGACUGCGAAGCAAAACUGGUAUGUAGAGCCGUCCACGCGCCCUGAGACAUAGCGGCAAAGAUAAUAGGCGACGAGACUCUCUCCGUGAGAGAGGACUGGAUAGCAAAUAGGAUGGCUUGAUCUUGAGCCACACACGCAUGAUGCCCCGGAUGAUAUGGCGGGGACACGAUAGAGUACCAUCAACAAAGCCCUCCAAGUAGCGACCACGGAGAAGCAGCAUCACCUGUACACGCCACGACAGAUAGUUAUCCAUUGUGAGAUUCACCGGGAUGAGGUGUGCGAAGUAGAAUGGUGCAACAACAGCGACAUGAUCUGGCAGAGGCGGCACGUAGUAGCCCUGAUGUAGACCACCAUCAGGCGCCGACGAGAUAUGAACAAGCUCCGUCGAAGGAGCCGCAGCCGGCGGAGGAUACGAUGCCGGGUAAGAUCCAUAGGACGGAGCAGAUGCACUAUAGAACGACGCGAUCGGAGGAGUCGGCCGGUACCCCCCGUAGAUCGUUGGUGCAGCGUUGUAGGGUGUUGCAGCAGUCACAGGUACGUCAUAGGAAUCCAUGGGCGCCGUACAUGGCUGGAGGUAGGGCGCCAUACGUGGCUGGAGGUGAUGCAUUGUACGCAGCUGGAGGCGGGGCGCCAUACACGGCUGGAGGCGGGGCACCGUACGCAGCUGCAGUCCAACACUCAACUCUCUCACAUAGAUUUGAAUAUGGUGGAAAGAUGAUUUUCACGAAGUAGGCGAUCUCCUUGCCCUUAUAAACUUCUUGGUUCAACUCCACAACUUGACGGAGGCUCCCAAGCGACACCUAACCAAUCUAGGAGACACCACUCUCCAAAAGGUAAUAGAUGUUGUGUUGAUGAUGAACUCCUUACUCUUGUGCUUCAAAUGAUAGUCUCCCCAACACUCAACUCUCUCUCACAGAUUUUUAUAUGGUAGAAAGAUGAUUUGAGUGGAAAGCAACUUUGGGAAGGCUAGAAAUCAAGAUUCUUGUGGUAGGAUUGGAAGUGUAGGCACGUUCUAAUGGCUCUCUCACAUAUGGAAAAGGGGGUGGAGGGGUAUAUAUAGCCUCCACACAAAAUCCAACCGUUACACACAUUUGACCCAACUCGGUCAGACCGAAUAGACGAACUCGGUGAGACCGAUUUAGUUAAAAAAUGUGAACGUUAGGAAUCUUGGUGGGACCGACUAGAACAACUCGGUGGCACCGAUGUGCCAGGGCUUAGGGAAAAUGUGAACGUUAGGAAUCUUGGUGGGACCGACUAGAACAACUCGGUGGCACCGAUGUGCCAGGGCUUAGGGAAAAUGUGAACGUUAGGAAUCUUGGUGGUGCCGAUUGCAUCGACUCGGUGAGACCGAAGUGAAGCAAUAGGGCAACAGAGAAUUGGUCAAGCCAUCUCGGUGAGACCAAUCGCUAUUUCGGUGAGACCGAAAUAAUUGCAACAGGCAACAGAGAAUUGGCAAGGCCAUCUCGGUGAGACCGAGAUCCGUCUCGGUAUGACCGAACUAUUAGGGUUUCUGGCAGUGGCUAUGUCAUAUGAACUCGGUGGCGCCGAAUAUAAAGAAUCGGUGGCGCCGAGUUGGAGUUUAGGGUGACAUAUUUGGAAUGAGAAAGUGGUUGAGGGAUUUGGAGAAAUAUCACUAAGCAUUUGAGCAAGCAAGCCAUUAAGCAAUACCUCACCCCCUUUUAAUAGUAUUGGCUUUCUUAUGGACUCAAUGUGAUCUUGGAUCACUAAAAUAGAAAUGAGGAGUCUUGAGCUUUUGCCAAUAUGUGUCCUUGACACGUUGAAGGGGUUCCACAUCCUCUUGUACUUUCCACGCCAUUGUUGAACUUGUCUAAAAUACACUGGAUAAAAGCAUUAGUCCAACAAAAGAUAUGUUGACAUUAAUUACCAAAAUCACCCAAGGAGCACUUGUGCUUUCACCUUUAUCUGGCCGUGGAAUUGUCCAUGCCAUGCCUUAGCACAGUUCUUCCAACUCCAAUGCAUGCAAUCUAUUGAGCCAAGCAUACUUGGGAACCCGCGAGCUUUAUUCAUCUCCAAAAGCCUUGCAGUGUCUUCAGCAUUGGGAGCUCUCAAAUAUUCCAGGCCAAACACUUGCACAAUUCCGAUUACGAAGCGCUUGAUACACAUGAUGGCUUGAAUCUCACCAUGGCCAAGUGGUCAUCAACUAGAUCAUCCGAAAUACUGUAUGCCAACAUAUGCAAAGCGGCUGCCACCUUUUGAAAGGUGCUAUGUCCGAGUUCUCCGGCGGCAUUCCUCCUUUGCUGAAAAAACCAAUCAUGGCUCGCCAGUUUCUCUGCAUUGUGUUUGAACAACUCGAUGCUCAUCCUAAAAUGGCACCGAAAGUAUGACUCGGGGUAUGUGGGAUUCUCCACAAAAUAGUGCCUCAUCAAUCUGUUGUCGGCAUCGAUCUUAUCUCUCCAAUUUUUUUGAGGACCGAUAACCGAACCACUGUGCUUCGACUUUUUAUUGACGUGUGAUAUGUCUCCGUCGUAUCUACUUUUUCAAACACUUUUGCCCUUGUUUUGGACUCUAACUUGCAUGAUUUGAAUGGAACUAACCCGGACUGACGCUGUUUUCAGCAGAAUUGCCAUGGUGUUAUUUAUGUGCAGAAAUAAAAGUUCUCGGAAUGACCUGAAACUUCACGGAACGUCUAUUUGGAAAUAAUAAAAAAAUCCUUGCAAAAGAUGAAGACCAGGGGGCCCACACCCUAGUCAUGAGGGUGGGGGCGCGCCUGCCCCUGGGCGCGCCCCUACCUCGUGCCCCCAGGAGCUCCUCCGACCUCAACUCCAACUCCAUAUAUUUGCUUUCGGGGAGAGAAAAAAUCAGGGAGAAGGAUUCAUCGCGUUUUACGAUACGGAGCCGCGGCCAAGCCCUAAAACCUCUCNNNNNNNNNNNNNNNNNNNNNNNNNNNNNNNNNNNNNNNNNNNNNNNNNNNNNNNNNNNNNNNNNNNNNNNNNNNNNNNNNNNNNNNNNNNNNNNNNNNNNNNNNNNNNNNNNNNNNNNNNNNNNNNNNNNNNNNNNNNNNNNNNNNNNNNNNNNNNNNNNNNNNNNNNNNNNNNNNNNNNNNNNNNNNNNNNNNNNNNNNNNNNNNNNNNNNNNNNNNNNNNNNNNNNNNNCAUCGUCAUCAUCAACCAUCCUCCAUCACCAAUUUCAUGAUGCUCACCGCCGUGCAUGAUUAAUUCCAUCGUGGGCUUGCUGGACGGUGAUGGGUUGGAUGAGAUUUAUCAUGUAACCGAGUUAGUUCUGUUAGGGUUUGAUCCUUAGUAUCCACUAUGUUCUGAGAUUGAUGUUGCUAUGACUUUGCUAUGCUUAAUGCUUGUCACUAGGGCCCGAGUGCCAUGAUUUCAGAUCCAAACCUAUUAUGUUUUCAUCAAUAUAUGACAGUUCUUGAUCCUAUCUUGCAAGUCUAUAGUCACCUACUAUGUGUUAUGAUCCGGCAACCCCGAAGUGACAAUAAUCGGGACCACUCCCGGUGAUGACCGUAGUUUGAGGAGUUCAUGUAUUCACUAUGUGUUAAUGCUUUGGUCCGGUACUCUAUUAAAAGGAGGCCUUAAUAUCCCUUAGUUUCCCUUAGGACCCCGCUGCCAUGGGAGGGUAGGACAAAAGAUGUCAUGCAAGUUCUUUUCCAUAAGCACGUAUGACUAUAUUCGGAAUACAUGCCUACAUUACAUUGAUGAAUUGGAGCUAGUUCUGUGUCACCCUAUGUUAUGACUGUUACAUGAUGAACCGCAUCCGACAUAAUUCUCCAUCACUAAUCCAUUGCCUAUGAGCUUUCCAUAUAUUGUUCUUCGCUUAUUUACUUUUCCGUUGCUAUUACUAUCAUCACUACAAAGUACCAAAAACAUUACUUUUGCUAUCAUUACCUUUUGCUACCGUUACCACUACUAUCAUAUUACUUUGUUACUAAACACUCUGCUGCAGAUAUUAAGUUUCCAGGUGUGGUUGAAUUGACAACUCAGCUGCUAAUACUUGAGAAUAUUCUUUGGCUCCCCUUGUGUCGAAUCAAUAAAUUUGGGUUGAAUACUCUACCCUCAAAAACUGUUGCGAUCCCCUAUACUUGUGGGUUAUCAAGACUAUUUUCUGGCGCCGUUGCCGGGGAGCAUAGCUCUAUUCUUUGAGUCACUUGGGAUUUAUAUUUGCUUAUCAUUAUGAAGAACUUGAGAGAUCCAAAAACCAAGAUUUAUCCCUCAACUACGAGGGGAGGUAAGGAACUGCCAUCUAGCUCUGCACUUGAUUCACCUUCUGUUUUGAGUAAGCUUGCGACACCUAAACCGGCUUCUGCUAUUCGUUCUGAUAUGUCACAUGUUAUUGAUGAUGCCACUUCUGCUAUGCAUGAUACUUACGAUGAAACUACUUCUAUGCUUGAUACUACUGUGCCACUUGGUGAAUUUCUUGAUGAACAACUUGCUAGGGUUAGAGAGAAUGAAAUUAUUGAAACUCAUAACAUUGAUGAAAGUGAUGAUGAAGACUCUCCCCCAAAUGAAUAUGAAUCGCCUGUUAUUCCUGAGGGUUAUGUUUUUGAAAAAUAAGCUGCUUUAGCUAUUUUACCUUGCAAAGAUAGAUACGAGCUCAAGAGAUUAUUAGCUAAAUGGAAGCAGCAAUCUCUUAAUGCUAGAAUGAAACCUGAGCCUGCUUUUGCUACUUCACCUAUCCGUGUUACUGAUAAGGAUUAUGAAUUCUCUGUUGAUCCUGAUAUAAUUACUUUGGUUGAAUCUGAUCCUUUUCAUGGCUAUGAAUAUGAAACUGCUGUGGCACAUCUUACUAAACUAAAUGAUAUAGCCACCCUGUUCACUAAUGAUGAGAAAUCUCGCUACCUUUAUAUCCUUAAAUUAUUUCUGUUCUCAUUAAAGGGUGAUGCUAAUAUAUGGUUUAAUUCUCUUGAUCCUGGUUGUGUGCGUAGUCCCCAGGAUAUGAUUUAUUACUUCUCUGCUAUAUAAUUUUGUGCAAAUUGAAGAAGAGAGUCUCCCACAAGCUUGGGGGAGGCUUCUCCAAUUACUUAAUGCUUUGCCUGAUCACCCCCUUAAGAAAAAUGAAAUCCUUGAAAUCUUUUAUAAUGGACUAACCGAUGCUUCCAGAGAUUACCUAGAUAGUUGUGCUGGUUCUGUUUUCAGGGAAAGAACACCGGAUGAAGCUGAAAUUCUAUUGAAUAAUAUGUUGACAAAUGAAAAUAAUUGGACACUUCCUGAGCCUAUUCCUAAACCAACUCCGAAGAAGAGAAGUGUUCUAUUUAUCAGUCCUGAAGAUAUGCAAGCGGCAAAAAAAUCUAUGAAAGAAAAAGGUAUUAAAGCUGAAGAUGUUAAGAAUCUACCUCCUAUUGAAGAAAUACAUGGUCUAAAUUUACCGCCUAUUGAAGAAACAUAUGAUCUUAAUCCAUUACCUAUCGAAGAAAUACAUGGUCUUGAUAACCCGACACAGGUAGUAAAGGUAAAUUCUCUCUAUAGAUAUGAUAAAGCUGAAAUCCCAUUUACUAAGUUUGCUAGCUCAUGGUUAGACGAGUUUGAUAAAUUUAUGGUUAAGCAAGAAGACUUCAAUGCUUAUUUUGGUAGACAAUUGAAAUACAAUUCAAAUAUGCUUGAACACUUGGGUGAUUAUAUGGCUAAUGUCAAAGGUGAACUUAAACUUAUUAGUAAACAUGCUUCUAUGGUUACCACUCAAGUAGAACAAGUACUUAAAGCUCAAAAUGAUUUGCUCAAUGAACUGAAUAAUAAGAAUAAUGAUUAUGCUAUUAGAGUUAUGACUAGAGGUGGUAAAAUGACUCAGGAACCUCUGUAUCCUGAAGGCCACCCUAAGAGAAUUGAGCAAGAUUCUCAGAGAAAUAAUAUAGAUGCACCUAGUCCUUCUAAAAGGAAGAAAAAGAAAAAUGAUAGGACUUUGCAUGCUUCUAGUGAACCUAUUACUGAAACACCUGAGAAUUCAAAUGAUAUUUCUAUUUCUGAUGCUGAAACACAAUCUGGUAAUGAACCUGAAACUAGUGAUAAUGUUAAUGAUAAUGUUCAUGAUGAUGCUCAACCUAGUAACGAUAAUGAUAUAGAAAUUGAACCUGCUAUUGAUCUUGAUAACCCACAAUCAAAGAAUCAACGUUAUGAUAAGAGAGAUUUUGUUGCUAGGAAACACGGUAAAGAAAGAGAACCUUGGGUUCAGAAACCUAUGCCUUUUCCUCCCAAACCACCCAAGAAAAAGGAUGAUGAGGAUUUUGAGCGCUUUGCUGAAAUGAUUAGACCUAUCUUUUUGCGUAUGCGAUUAACUGAUAUGCUUAAAAUGAAUCCUUAUGCUAAGUACAUGAAAGAAAUUGUUACUAAUAAAAGAAAGAUACCGGAAGCUGAAAUUUUCACCAUGCUAGCUAAUUAUACUUUUAAGGGUGGAAUACCAAAGAAACCUGGGGAUCCAGGAGUACCCACUAUACCAUGCUCCACUAAAAGAAACUAUGUUAAAACUGCUUUAUGUGAUCUUGGAGCCGGUGUUAGUGUUAUGCCUCUCUCUUUAUAUCCUAGACUUGAUUUUAAUAAGUUGACACCUACUGAAAUAUCUUUGCAAAUGGCUGAUGAAUCAACUGCUAUACCUGUCGGUAUUUGCGAGGAUGUGCCUGUUGUGGUUGCAAAUGUUACUAUUUUAACGGACUUUGUUAUUCUUGAUAUUCCUAAGGAUGAUAGUAUGUCUAUUAUUCUUGGAAGACCUUUUUUGAAUACUGCAGGGGCUGUUAUUGAUUGCACCAAAGGCAAUGUCACUUUUCAUGUUAAUGGUAAUGAGCAUACGAUACACUUCCCGAGGAAACAACCUCAAGUUCAUAGUAUCAACUCUAUUGGAAAAAUUCCAUCGAUUAUAUUUGGAGGUUUUGAAUUUCCUCUUCCUACUAUCAAGAAGAAAUAUGAUAUUCUUAUUAUUGGGGAUGUGCAUAUCCCCGUUGAGGUAACAUAGUGUUAUUCGAAAUUUCACCGGUUCCAUGUUAUUCAGAAUGAGUUCGUUAACAAGACUUGAUAAACCUUGUUAGUCGAUUCCUUUUGAUGAGCAUGAGAUGGAUGAAACUAGAAGGCACAACUCUCUGUACCCUCCUUUUACUUUCUGAUAUUUAUAAUAAAUAAAAUAAAAAUAAGUAUUUUCUGUCUGUUAUCUGAAUUAUCCGUGCAAUAUAAAAAUACCCCAAAAAAAGUUCUCCAAAUGCCCUGAAAUUUAAAUAUGAUUUUUUCUGGAAUAUUUGAGAAUAUUCGGCACUGAGAACACAUCACGGGGGGCAUCCACCUGGCCACGAGGGUGGAGGGCGCGCCCUACCCCCUGGGCGCGCCCCCUGCCUCAUGGGCCCACGGUGGCCCUCCUCCACUUAUUCCUGCACCCACACACUCCUUCUUCCUCCCACAAACACGAUUAUCCAGUUCAAACCCGAGUCCAAGCUCAUUUUGCUGCCAUUUUCGAUCUCCUUGCUCAAAGCACCUCUCACAAAAUUGCUUGGGGGGAUUGUUCCUUGGCAUGUGACUCCUCCAUUGGUCCAAUUAGUUUUUGUUCUAGUGCUUUAUUCAUUGCAAAUUUAUGCUGCCUAGGUGACCAUGUUCUUGAGCUUGCAUGUCAAAUUUAUGUGGUUCCAAGUAGUUUUGAUGCAUGAUAUAGGCUCUAGGCACUUGUAGGAGUAGUUGCUAUCAAUUUUGUUGAGUUUGGUUUACUUUUACUUGAAGUUACUAAAAAUUUCAGAAUUUUUUAGAAAAUAAUGAAGAGAUUUUUGAGGGGCUCAUCGAGCCGAAGCUCGAAGGAAAAGCAAAAUGAAAAAGCAGAGAGGCCCAAAUAUAAUCUGCCUCGCACCGCGGAGGUUCGGCCGUGUGAAUGGCCUUCCGAUGAUUUCUUGAGAGCGGCCGGGAUUUAUGAUGAUUUUUAUGAAUUGGCUGAGAAUGCAUGCCUCAUUGCCUUCCUCCAUGACCGACACGAAAGUAUCUCUUACUCACCAAUAUCUUUGUGCAAAACUUUCAUUUCCAUGCUAGAAGCUCACCACCUACGGUGGAGUUUUAUUUAUAUGAUGAGCAUAAGGAGAUGUCACUUUAUGAUUUUUGUCGGGUUUGUUUGAUGCCUUUCGAGGGCAUAAUAGAGGAACCACACCGCGGUGAUGUGUAUGGGUUUAUUGAUACCAUCGCUGUAGGGGAAACGAGGAAGGUUUCUGAUGCACGAAUCACUAGCAUACAUUUUCCUAUUUUACGCUACUUUGCAAUAUUUGCUAGUCGUUGCUUAAUUGGUCAUGGAAACUGUGGAAACCUUGGUGUUCUUGAUAUUACUAUUUUGUUCCACGGUUUAUUCUGUGAUAACUCUGUUAGUAUGGGCGGUAUUAUUGCUAAACGAUUAAGUCUGAAGCGUACAAAGGGCCCCAUCUUUGGAGGCAUCUAUGCUUCACGCCUAGCUGCACAUUUUAACAUACCCAUUAGGCACUAUGAAAAAGAAGAAAAAUUGUUGCCCACUGUUUAUUUAGAUUAUAAGAGUAUGGUAGCGCAUGAUUUUAUUAUAAAGAAUAGGGAAGGGGAGCUUAAAUACAAAUUGUUCUUUGAUAAACAUCAUCUUGAGACUAUUACCCUGCCUGCUCCUUCCUUGUUUGAUUUAUCUGCAGGCAAGUACCUUGUUCCACUAGAGGCCAUCCAUGCCUACCGGAACCCUACAUCAGCCACAGAGCCAGAGUCGGAACCAGAAGUUGAUCCUCCACGACAGUCUAAUUACCAGUGGGGUCCGGAGAUGAUUGCCAACUAUUGGCAAUCAGAGUCUUCUUCUUUGCAGUAUGACCCCAACUAUUACUAUGGAUAUCCGCCAGGCCAACCGUGGCCAUAGACCAACUUAGGCCAAAAGCCUAAGCUUGGGGGAGUACAUAUUUCUCACCGACAUUAUAUUCAUGUUCACACACUCAUCGCUAGAUGUCGGUGCUCAUACUUUUUCAUUGUAUCAUCCAUGCUAGUUUCUUUCCUUUUUAUGCUUUCUUCUUGUGUGUUUAAUAAACCUUAAGAAAAACAAAAAAAAUAGUUAUAGCUUUUAUCUAGUUUUAAUUUCCAUGCUUGUAGUAGUAAUUAAAAAGAAAACCCAAAAAGAUUUCCCGUUCUUCUUUUUGCUUGUUGGGAGCUUUCCCGUGUAAAUAGUUUUAUUUCUUUUCUUUUCUUUGGGGGUCGAUAGGAGAAGACUAUAAUUAAAUUGAUGAAGUGGCUCUUAUAUGCAUUAUUGUUGAUCUGACAAAAGAGCCCAUACUGCCUUGUCUUCUCCUGUUUAUUGAAUGCUUCCAGAUUCCAGCUUAGUCCAAUGCACGUGCACUAUUAUUAUUAUCCACAUCGUUCGAUCGUGCAAGUAAAAGGCAAUUAUGAUGAUAUAUGAUGGACUGACUGAGAUGAGAAAAGCUGGUAUGAACUCGACCUGUUUUUUUGUAAAUAUGAUUAGUUCAUCGUUCCUGAUUCAGCCUAUUAUGAAUAAACAUGCUUGCAAUGACAACUAGAGAUCAUAGUUUCUUGUGCCAUGCUUGAUUAGCUAGGAGCUUAUAAUGGGUUACCUUGUGUGCCAACAUGCUAUUAAAAUGGUUGUGAUGUGGUAUGAUAGGGUGGUAUCCUCCUCUGAAUGAUUUAAGUGACUUGACUUGGCACAUGUUCACGCAUGUAGUUGAAAAAAAUCAACAAAGCCUUCACAAUAUUUAUGUUCAUGGUGGAUUAUAUCCUACUCAUGCUUGCAUUCGGUGUUGAUUACUUUUAGGGUUUUCAUAUUUAUGCCAUUGGUUGUGUUUCACUACUCAGUUUUGCCACUAGGAAUUUCAACUGCUCAAAAAUGCCAUCGCUUCGUUAGGCACAUGCUCAAAAAUGCCACUGGACACCAUUAUUGUCAGCUCAAAUCCCGUUUGCCAUGUGAUAAUGACCAAAAUACGUAUAUAACAACAUGUCAGCUCUCCCUCUAUCUCACUACAAUAAAGUAUGGGUCCCACUUGAUCCUAAUAGCAUUCUUAUUUUCUCUAAAAUUAUUCGCUUGCUUACUCCUGACAAUAAUGGAGGCACUCGUUGUUAGUUGGAGGCACUCGUUGUUUCGAGCAAGCCAUGGAUUGAUGCUUGUUGGUGGAGGGGGAGUAUAAACUUUACCAUUCUGUUUGGGAACCGCCUAUAAUGUGUGUAGCAUGGAAGAUAUCGCCAUCUCUUGGUUGUUAUGUUGACAAUGAAAGUAUACCGCUCAAAAUAUUAUUCAUCUCUAUUUCAAAACCGAGCUCUGGCACCUCUACAAAUCCCUGCUUCCCUCUACGAAGGGCCUAUCUAUUUACUUUCAUGUUGAGUCAUCAUUCUCUUAUUAAAAAGCACUAGUUGGAGAGCACCGCUGUCAUUUGCAUUCAUUAUAGUUUACAUUGAGUAUGACUUGACUGGAUCUCUUUUACCAUGAAUUACAAUGUAUAGUCAGUCCUUGAUCUUUAAAGGUGCUCUGCAUUUAUGUUUUGCGGUCUUAGAAAGGGCUAGCGAGAUACCAUCUUGUUAUAUCAUAUUAUGAUUGUUUUGAGAAAGUGUUGUCAUCCGAGAUUUAUUAUUAUUGCUCGCUAGUUGAUUAUGCCAUUGAUAUGAGUAAACAUGAGACCUAAGCGUUAAUGUGAAUAUGGUUAGUUUAUAAUCUUUGCUGAAAACUUGAAUGCUGGCUUUACAUAUUUACAACAACAAGAGCAAACAGAGUUUGUAAAAGUUUUUCUUUAUCACUUUCAGUUUGUCAACUGAAUUGCUUGAGGACAAGCAAAGGUUUAAGCUUGGGGGAGUUGAUACGUCUCCGUCGUAUCUACUUUUCCAAACACUUUUGCCCUUGUUUUGGACUCUAACUUGCAUGAUUUGAAUGGAACUAACCCGGACUGACGCUGUUUUCAGCAGAAUUGCCAUGGUGUUAUUUAUGUGCAGAAACAAAAGUUCUCGGAAUGACCUAAAACUUCACGAAACGUCUAUUUGGAAAUAAUAAAAAAUCCUUGCAAAAGAUGAAGACAAGGGGGCCCACACCCUAGUCACGAGGGUGGGGGGCGCACCUGCCCCCCUCGGCGCGCCCCCUACCUCGUGGGCCCCCUGGAGCUCCUCCGACCUCAACUCCAACUCUAUAUAUUUGCUUUCGGGGAGAAAAAAAUCAAGGAGAAGGAUUCAUCGCGUUUUACGAUAUGGAGCCGCCGCCAAGCCCUAUAACCUCUCGGGAGGGCUGAUCUAGAGUCCGUUCGGGGCUCCGGAGAGGGGAAUCGUCAUCAUCAACCAUCCUCCAUCACCAAUUUCAUGAUGCUCACCGCCGUGCAUGAGUAAUUCCAUCGUGGGCUUGUUGGACGGUGAUGGGUUGGAUGAUAUUUAUCAUGUAAUCGAGUUAGUUUUGUUAGGGUUUGAUCCCUAGUAUCCACUAUGUUCUGAGAUUGAUGUUGCUAUGACUUUGCUAUGCUUAAUGCUUGUCACUAGGGCCCGAGUGCCAUGAUUUCAGAUCUGAACCUAUUAUGUUUUCAUCAAUAUAUGAGAGUUCUUGAUCCUAUCUUACAAGUCUAUAGUCACCUACUAUGUGUUAUGAUCCGGCAACCCCGAAGUGACAAUAAUCGGGACCACUCCUGGUGAUGACCGUAGUUUGAGGAGUUCAUGUAUUCACUAUGUGUUAAUGCUUUGGUCCGGUACUCUAUUAAAAGGAGGUCUUAAUAUCCCUUAGGACCCCGCUGCCAUGGGAGGGUAGGACAAAAGAUGUCAUGCAAGUUCUUUUCCAUAAGCAUGUAUGACUAUAUUCGGAAUACAUGCCUACAUUACAUUGAUGAAUUGGAGCUAGUUCUGUGUCACCCUAUGUUAUGACUGUUACAUGAUGAACCGCAUCCGACAUAAUUCUCCAUCACUGAUCCAUUGCCUACGAGCUUUCCAUAUAUUGUUCUUCGCUUAUUUACUUUUCCGUUGCUAUUACUAUCAUCACUACAAAGUACCAAAAACAUUACUUUUUCUAUCAUUACCUUUUGCUACCGUUACCACUACUAUCAUAUUACUUUGUUACUAAACACUCUGCUGCAGAUAUUAAGUUUCUAGGUGUGGUUGAAUUGACAACUCAGCUGCUAAUACUUGAGAAUAUUCUUUGGCUCCCCUUGUGUCGAAUCAAUAAAUUUGGGUUGAAUACUCUAUCCUCGAAAACUAUUGCGAUCCCAUAUACUUGUGGGUUAUCAAGACUAUUUUCUGGCGCCGUUGCCGGGGAGCAUAGCUCUAUUCUUUGAGUCACUUGGUAUUUAUAUCUGCUUAUCAUUAUGAAGAACUUGAGAGAUCCAAAAACAAAGAUUUAUCCCUCAACUACGAGGGGAGGUAAGGAACUGCCAUCUAGCUCUGCACUUGAUUCACCUGUUGUUUUGAGUAAGCUUGCGACACCUAAACCUGCUCCUGCUAUUCGUUCUGAUAUGUCACAUGUUAUUGAUGAUGCCACUCCUGCUAUGCAUGAUACUUAUGAUGAAACUACUUCUAUGCUUGAUACUACUGUGCCACUUGGUGAAUUUCUUGAUGUACAACUUGCUAGGGUUAGAGAGAAUGAAAUUAUUGAAACUGAUAACAUUGAUGAAAGUGAUGAUCAAGACUCUCCCCCUAAUGAAUAUGAAUCGCCUGUUAUUCCUGAGGGUUAUGUUUUUGAGAAAGAAGCUGCUUUAGCUAUUUUAGCUUGCAAAGAUAGAUACGAGCUCAAGAGGUUAUUAGCUAAAUGGAAGCAACAAUCUCUUAAUGCUAGAAGGAAACCUGACCCUGCUUUUGCUACUUUACCUAUCUGUGUUACUGAUAAGGAUUAUGAAUUCUCUGUUGAUCCUGAUAUAAUUACUUUGGUUGAAUCUGAUCCUUUUCAUGGCUAUGAAUCUGAAACUGUUGUGGCACAUCUUACUAAAUUAAGUGAUAUAGCCACCCUGUUCACUAAUGAUGAGAAAUCUCGCUACCUUUAUAUCCUUAAAAUGUUUUCGUUCUCAUUAAAGGGUGAUGCUAAGAUAUGGUUUAAUUCUCUUGAUCCUGGUUGUUUGCGUAGUCCCCAGGAUAUGAUAUAUUACUCCUCUGCUAAAUAUUUCCCUACUCAUAAGAAACAAGCUGCCUUAAGGGAUAUAUAUAAUUUUGUGCAAAUUGAAGAAGAGAGUCUCCCACAAGCUUGGGGGAGGCUUCUCCAAUUACUUAAUGCUUUGCCUGAUCACCCCCUUAAGAAAAAUGAAAUACUUGAUGUAACACCCCGAGACCGACGCUCCAGAUGCCUUACUUUUAUCUCAUUGUCGUUAUGUGUUUGAUCUGUUUGUUGCCAUGAUCAGAUGAGUGCCAUUGUCAAUUUUUUUGCUUCUUGCAUCAUGUUCAUCAUUUGGUUAUAUUGCAUUGCCAUGCCCAUCAUUGUCAUGUUGCAUUUGUGCCCCUUGUCAUUUUGCAUUCUCAUAAUCAUCAUGUGCAUUGUCAUAUUCAUGCAUGUUACAAUUUUGGAUGCUCCAUGUAUGAUCUUGCAUCAUCACCUCCUCCUUUCUUCUUCUUUCUUUCAUUUUGGCAAGUGACCUUUUCCCCUCCUCCAUAAAUGUUCAUUCUUUUCCUAAUGCUAGUUCACCAUGCCUAAACCCUCUCUGCCAAUUUUUCAGCUCAUUUGAAGAUGUUUUGGUUGGGUUCAAAAAUGGCUCAAGUUUGAAUUUAAUUCAAACAUGAAUUAUUUUUCUAUCCUUAAAAAUGCCCAAACCAUUUUUUUAAAAAUCCUUCAUAAAUCGAGGAGCCCAGGAAUAUUUUUACUUCCUCCUUAUUCUUCUCGAGACACCCUAGUCUUUUCCCUUCUUCUAUUUGGUUAAUUAUAAAUAAACAUAGAUUUGAAAGAAACAAGAGAAGGGCUUUACCUAGACCCCAGCCCAUUAGUGCCGCGGCCCAGCAGCAGCUCCUUCGCCGCCAGCCACUUUCACCCACACGAGGCCUGCAUGUCAUCCUCCCUUCGUUACUGUGCUUCCUCCUCCUUUGCUCGUUUCCCUCUCACGGUAAAACUCCUCCAACAGAGGCACAUGGGCACGAGGGCAGCCAGGGCCUUGCGCCUCCCCUCCUAUAAAGAUCGCAGCCCCGCGCCCUAGGGUUUAAUCUCCCCCCUCUCGCCGCCGCCACCCCUUUCCUUCCCUCUGUUUCUCCUUCUUCCUUAAGAAACAGAGGAGCAGAGAACCACCGAGCGCGCUCCACCGUCGUUUGCGAGGACUCGUCAUCGUCUUCUCUGACUUCAAGCAAGACCAGGAGCUAGAAGGGCCCGAGGGCGCCGCGUUUUUCUUCCACGACGUCUUCUUCCUCUUCAUCGCCGUGGAAUGCCAAGAUCCUUGUUGUCGUCUUCAUCUUCGGCAGGAGCACACCGCCAUUGGAAUUCGUCACCGCGGGCCAUCCCCGAGCUCGAUCUACUCCAGCAACCAACCCUACGUGAGCACGAUCACCUCCCACGCACGGUCCUCCUCUCGUUUGUGCCCUGUUUCGGUCAUGUCCUCUUGGACCCAACAGCUUCUCCACCACGGCAUGGUCGCCGGCGUAGUUCCGGUGACCCCUGCUUGCGAUUUUGCUUCUGCUGCACUCGCACCGACGCGUAGGGCAUAUACGGUCUUCAAUUUUCGUCCUUGGUUUGCUCUAGCCCCACCACCACAGGACCUCAUCGCCGGUGAGGUUUUCGUCCGUGUUUCGAUGCAUCCGUAGCACCUUUAGGAUCGCCUUGUAGCGCAGCAUCUUUCGGUGCCCUCCGCUGUGAGUUUUGGUCGCUGGAGUUCCUCCGACGAGCUCACCCAUUGUUCUGCUCGCCCGCCUUGUUCUUCUCUGCUCCUUGCAUGCGCUCGCGACCGCUUGCUUCGAUGCUCAUGCCGCUGCUCGCUUCGCUGGUCCACACUAUAGCCCCCGCAGGUCACGUCCCACGCUCGCGCAGCACGCCUGCACCUUCGCACCACCCAGCACAGCCAGCACCUCGCCGUGCCUCGCUGCCGCAUCCGAGACGAGCUCCUAUUCGAGCUCGUUCUCGAAGCGCUUCACCACCUGCGCACGCGCCCAUCACGCCACACACACACUCACCUAUUUCCGCAACCCCGCCGUCGGCCUGUGAUCGCGACGGUCGCCGUCUUGCUCGCUGGCGUCGUCGCCCAGUUCGUCUGUGUUCCACAAAGAAGAAGGCCUGGCCUCUGUUGGUUUUGUUCAAGUUCAGGCACUCCCUUGUUUUCUACAAACAUACAGCAACAGCGCAAUGGUCAGCACGCUGCUCCUCUUUCCAGGAGGUCGGGGUUUAAGUCCCAGCCGCCCCCUUUUUCUGGCUCUAUUUUCCUGCUAUUUUGCACACCCACAACCACUUGGGCCGAUUCCUCAUCUGGGCCGUUGCAGCGUGAUGCUUCGGGCCCGUGCAUGUUAUAUUUUUUUCUUGCCCGUGGUUUUGGUUAAUUUCGAAUGCAUUGCAUAUUUACAGAAUUGCCUUUAUUUUUGCAUUGCUAAUAACUAAAUGUGCAUGCACGCAAAUGAAAAAUGGUAUAUAUGUAAAAUGCUUAGAUUUUCAUCUACUUUCAUAACAUGCAUCUUUUAUCCAUGUUAAAAUAUUUAAGAUUGUUGUUUGCAUUAAUUUGCAUAUAUGCCAUGCUAAAAUGAAUUAUUUCAUAACUUAAUAACCGUAGCUCCAAUCUUAAUAAACUUUAUAUGUAAAUGGGGUAGAAAAAUGCCUAGUUUGACAUGGUGGCAGUACUUUGCAUGUUUAACAACUCUAAAAUUGUGUAUAGGGCAGAACAGUACCAAAUCCAUAUUUUGCAUAUGGAGAUUUACCAGAAUUGUUGUUUGUUGUUUCCGGCCUCAUUUAAACUUGCCUAGAUAGGUAGUUUUGUUGUGCUUCACCCCUUGCCAUGUUAAUCAACAUUUAAUAUUGUUGGGUACAUAAAUGAGAGGAACUAAAUAAUUGACGUGGUGUUUCGUCAAUAUGCAACGGAGUUGCAUAUUGAGCUCCACUUAAUGUGUAGGAUUGUUUGUGCAUUUUGCCAUACUAUGCCUCAUUAAACCGGACAUGCAUCAUACUUGGUUGUGCAUCAUGCCAUGAUUAUGUGAUGGUUGUUUACCAUGUUGUUUGCUUCUUUCCGGUGUGCUUCUUCGGGUUGGUUCCGUUAACGUCACGUUUGUGAGGAUUCGUUCGACUACGUCCAUUUGUCUUCUUCAUGGACUCGUUCUUCUUCCUUGUGGGAUCUCAAGCAAGAUGACCAUACCCUCGAAAUCACUUCUAUCUUUGCUUGCUAGUUGUUCGCUCUAUUGCUAUGCCGUGAUACCUACCACUCGCUUUAUCAUGCCUCCCAUAUUGCCAUGUCAAGCCUCUAACCCACCUUCCCAGCAAACCAUUGUUUGGCUAUGUUACCGCUUUGCUCAGCCCCUUUUAUAGUGUUGCUAGUUGCAGGUGAAGUUGUAGUUUGUUCCAUGUUGGAACAUGGAUAUGUUGGGAUAUCACAAUAUCUCUUAUUUAAUUAAUGCAUCUAUAUACUUGGUAAACGGUGGAAGGCUCGGCCUUAUGCCUGGUGUUUUUUUCCACUCUUGUUGCCCUAGUUUCCGUCAUACCAGUGUUAUGUUCCUUGAUUUUGCGUUCCUUACGCGGUUGGUUGUUAUGGGAACCCCUUGACAGUUCGCUUUGAAUAAAACUCCUCCAUCAAGGCCCAACCUUGGUUUUAGCAUUUGCCUCACCUAGCCUUUUUCCCUUGGGUUUCCUGAGCCCGAGGGUCAUCUUUAUUUUAACCCCCCCGGGCCAGUGCUUCUCUAAGUGUUGGUCCAACCUGAGCGAUGUCCGGCGCCCCCUGGGCAACCAGGGUCUAUGCCAACCCGACGUCUUGCUCAUCCGGUGUGCCCUAAGAACGAGAUACAUGCGACUCCUAUCGGGAUUUUUCGGCACAUCAGGCGGCUUUGCUGGUCUUGUUUUACCAUUGUCGAAAUGUCUUGUAACCGGGAUUCCGAGUCUGAUCGGGUCUUCCUGGGAGAAGGAAUAUCCUUCGUUGACCGUGAGAGCUUGUGAUGGGCUAAGUUGGGACACCCCUGCAGGGUUUUGGACUUUUGAAAGCCGUGCCCGCAGUUAUGGGUAGAUGGGAAUUUGUUAACGUCCGGUUGUAGAGAACUUGAAACUUAACUUAAUUAAAAUGCAUCAACCACGUGUGUAGCCGUGAUGGUCUCUUUCCGGCGGAGUCCGGGAAGUGAACACGGUUCUUGUGUUAUGCUUGAACGUAAGUAGUUUCAGGAUCACUUCUUGAUCACUUCUAGUUCACGACCGUGCAUUGCUUCUCUUCUCGCUCUUAUUUACGUAUGUUAGCCACCAAAUAUGCUUAGUGCUUGCUGCAGCUCCACCUCACUACCCUUUCCUACCCAUAAGCUUAAAUAGUCUAGACCUCGCGGGUGUGAGAUUGCUGAGUCCUCGUGGCUCACAGAUACUUCCAAACAGUUGCAGGUGCCGAUGAUACCAGUGCAGGUGACGCAACCGAGCUCAAGUGGGAGCUCGAUGAAGAUCUUGUUCGUUGUGUUGUUUCGUUUCCUAUUGAUCAAUAGUGGAGCCCAGUUGGGGCGAUCGGGGAUCUAGCAUUUGGGACUGUCUUCUUUUAUUUUGGUUCCGUAGUCGGACCUUGAUUGUAUUCUGGAUGAUGUAUGUUUAACUUGUAUUUGUGUGAAGUGGCGAUUGUAAGCCAACUCUUCAUCCCUUUCUAUUCAGUACAUGGGAUUGUGUGAAGAUUACCCCUCUUGCGACAUGCCUACCAUGCGGCUAUGCCUCUAAGUCGUGCCCCGACACGUGGGAGAUAUAGCCGCAUUGUGGGUGUUACAAGUUGGUAAUCAGAGCCUUCCACGACUUAGGAGCCCCCUGCUUGAUCGAAUCGUUGACGUUGUUGAGUCUAGAACAAAAUGUUUUGAGUCUUAGGAUUAUAUAUAUCGGAGAGUAGGAUUCUUUUUACUCUUCGGUCCCAUCGUCGCUUUGGUGAGGCCUCCUGACGUAGAGUUUUGACUCUUCUCUCCUUAAAUUUCAUGAAUUUUUUUAGGAUCACGCGGGUAUCUUGGAAUUGUUCUGAUGGUUUUGUGACGAGAACAUUGUUCUUGGUGCCUCCUGACAUUUAGGGGUUGUGGCAGUGUCCCGGGGAGUUGAGCUCCGAGGUGUUGUUGUCACAAUUUUAUCGUUGCAGUUCUAGAAUACCUGAGUUCGCCGACAUCGAAAAUCUCUAUGUAGUUGUUGGUGAGAUAACCUCGACGCCACCCAGUACUGGGGCGGGAGUUCAGGAGUAUUGCCACAACUUGUAUAACGGAUGCUUUUCGAAGGUUGAGGUACAUGAUUUCUGAAGGUUUCUUGGUUAUGUGUUGAAGGAUGGAUACAACUGGAUGUAGGAUUUGCUAGUUUUGGGUGAGAUAUUAUGCUUCCCCUGUAUCCCCAACACCUGAUUGCAUAACCAAAAAGUUUCGGGAGUUUAUAAGUGGGAAUUCAAGUAGCUCCUAGGAUAUCUUUCCGAUAGAUGUAUGAUAUGAAAUUGGGGUUCGACGUCUGGUGGUCCGCCUAUCCACAGUUGGUUUUACAGUGGUCUCGUUGUGUCUUAAAGAGUCCUUGGCUAUGCUGACUAGGGGACGCUUCGUAUGUCAUGUGCACUGCCUUGUACAUGAUGGUGCUGUACGAUCGAGCCCGUGUGGGCCCCACCACACAAUCUUUGGACGAAAUCUCUAUCAUAUGUCGUUUCGGCUUAUUUUGCAAGCCAAUCCUUUGUUUUGUUUUGGUUUGUGGUAUUCGAGUUGCUUCAAUGUCAAGUAUUGAAUCCAUACCUUUCCUAAGUGGUGUUCUCAUAUUUCUAUGUGAAUACUAAUCCUUCAUGAUAAUCAAGAUUGCCAUGUCAAUCCUUUUCAACCGGCGUGUUUCUCUUCAAGUGGAUUCAAUCAUUUCUACAUUCACAAGAUCAGUUCUAAGUCUUCUCAAUGGUGUUUGUCUCUUCCGUGCAAAGUUGCCUUUGUUUUCCCGCCCACCCACCCCCUUUUUUUUUCAAGGACUCAGAUUUCUUAUUCAAGUAUCCUUUUAUGGAGGUGAAAUCUCUUCAUUCUUUUCUUUCAAUGUCCUUAUCCAGUGAUUCUGAGGAAGAUACUAACAGAGCUUCAAGUUCAUCAUUCUUUGUUCUUUUCCUUCUCCGGUGGUUCCAACUCAAGCCUUUUAGUGUUGAUCGUAUUCCUUCCAUUGUUUCAAAUGCUUUCUCAUGCCAGUGCACCUCUUAAUCAUCCGCUUCUCUCCAUUCAUUUGUUCUGGAGUGCUGAAGAUAUCUCAGAAGAUUAGUGCUUCUAUUCUUGGUCAAUCCAAUCUAUUUUCGAGGUCUUACCUUAUUCAAGCCAUUUAAUUCAACUAACGCAAUCUCUUUUUCAAAUUGUUCAACGAUGUUUAUUUUGAGUGGGCCCUAACCCAGAGGUCUUUUCCCAGGAUCUUACCUGACUACUCUAUUUUCCCGGAGUUAUUCUCAAAUUCAUUUCAAAGUUUUACGUAAGAAUGAGUUAUCAUCAGUCAUAUGUAUUUCUCCAAGAUCGGUCAAAUUCUUUUCAUCGUUGGCUCAACCUCUUCGUUUUUGGAUUCUCCCGGAGUGUCUCAUCAAUUGUCAUGGUGGUUCUCAUCGUCAUUCUAAACAUUUGAAGACCGAAGAAGAGUUUUAGCUCCAAAUCUUAUCCGUUCUCUCAGAGAUGCGUGGUUCUAGCUUGAUGCCAUCCUAUCAUAAUUGUUUUUGAUUCUGAGAAUUCUUUUCACCUAUCUGAAGUAAAUUCAAGAUUCUUUUCAGUUUGAUUCUCUGGAGCCCAUCAUCUCAGAUUUAUUCAUUCUCAACGUGUAGCUAUCGUUCUCCAAAUCUUACCGGUGCAGCAUUCAAGUAUUCUCUAAUCAGCUCCUGAUCCAUUCGCUCACAUGUAUCUAAAUGCCCUCAAGUAUCUUCAUUCGUUUUCCAAUUCUUCCCGGUGAUUCAUCCCUAUACUUCGUUCAUUUCCAAUUCUUACGGUAGUCCAUUCAAGAUUACUCUUCUCUAGGUAUCUUAUCAAUUCAUUCGUUCUUUUCAAUCCUACUGGUGGUUCAUUGAAGUAUUUUCUCAAGUUUGGCUAUAUCUCUCUUAAUCCUUUCUACGAGAAUAAGUAGUAUGCCAAAUCUGUUGCUUGUCAUCAAUUUAAAUUGGUGAAGGAUACGCAUAACAUAAUUCUUAUUAUUGUUUCAUCCAAGUGAUCUAGUUUCUUCGUUCCAGAGUUGUUCUUCAUGUCACAUUUCUCGGUUCGAGAUGCUUUAUCUUUUCUUUCCGGAGUUCCAAGUUUUUCUCGGUUAUAUCAUCACGAAGCUCCAUUUAAUAAAUUCAAGGAUUCAUCUUAUUCUUUUCAAGCUUCUUUUCCUUGCGACCUUCUCUUUAUCUAUCCGGAGUUCUUCGAGAGUUUCUUCAUGGUGGCUAGUCAAGGAUUCUGUUCAUUCUUCAGUUGUUCUUCAAGAUCUCUCUCGAAGUCAUGACCCGCCAAGCUAUACUCUCAAAUAAACAUGGUAAUCAACACAUGUCUUGUUUUGAGGAGUUCAAGCAUUCUUCAUCUUGCAUUUCGAAGUGCAAUUCUUUCUACCUUAUCUUUUGAGAUGGUGUUAUGUAAUUGUUGACAAUUUCACUUCAUGUUUCAUGAUUCAUAAGUUGUCCAGAAUGACAUAUUUUAAACCCAUCAUUUUCAAUUCGUUCAUGAGUUCCUUUGCAACCCAUCAAUCUCUUCAUUGGAGUUAUCUUGGUUUAUAUUUCACCUAAAGCUUUCCCUAAGGAUUGUUGCUAUUUAUGGUGCUCAUAAAGGACCCAAGUUCUUCAUUUAUCCUCCCGGUGAAAUAAGUUUCUCAUCUCCUUGUUCAUAGCAAUCCAAUCUAUUGUUUUUUGUUAGUGGCAGAAUUUCACCUCAAGGUUUCAAGAUGUUUUCCAUAAGCCCGCAACAAGCUUACUCUUUUUGUUGUUGAAUUUUUCCAACAACUCUGUUCAAUCCUUCUUUGCAACGAUGCUUUCCAAGUUCAUUUGUGGCAGAAGCUGGCAUUUUUAAAUCCAUUCUGUUAUUCCAAUGAUCUAACUUCUAUUCCUUCGUUCUGGAGGCAUCAUGAUAUGGCUCUCUUCGACCCAUCAUCUUGUUUUGUCAAGAUCAUGUUCAAUUCCUUCCAUUUGCAGUCAGAGUGUUGUCCCAAUUAUAUCAUUCUUAUUCCUUCUCUAUCUUGUUUUAAUCGGAGUGUUGUGUCUAUCAUUCUUCUUCUAACCGGACUCUCAUCCAAGUGCCUUCAUUUUGCCAAGCUCAUAUUCUUUACCUUCCAUUUCCAACCGGAGUGUUGUCGUAAUUGAUCCUUAUCGUUCCUUGUACAUCUCGUUUCUACCGGAGUGCUUGCAUGUACUUCGUGUCCAUCACAACAAUUUUUCUUAUGUCUUUCAACCUACAAGGUUCUAGUAAUGUUCCUUGUUCCUCUUUUCUAAUGGAGCGUUUUCAACUUUGUUCAUCUUCGUUGUAUUCUUUCGUUCAAUUUGUUCAACCUCCCAAGGUUCGUGGUUUCACUCGUUUGUCAAAGAAGCAACUUUGUUUUACCUCUUCCUCUUCCACUUUUCUCUGGUACCAUCCUUAGAUCCCGUGAUGAGAUCUUCUGUUAGUGGAGGAGAGUUGUAAUGCCCCGAGACCGAUGCUCCAGAUGCCUUACUUUUAUCUCAUUUUCGUUGUGUGUUUGAUCUGUUUGUUGCCAUGAUCAGAUGAGUGCCAUUGUCAAUUUUUUUGCUUCUUGCAUCAUGUUCAUCAUUUGGUUAUAUUGCAUUGCCAUGCCCAUCAUUGUCAUGUUGCAUUUGUGCCCCUUUUCAUUUUGCAUUCUCAUAUUCAUCAUGUGCAUUGUCAUAUUCAUGCAUGUUACAUUGUUGGAUGCUCCAUGUAUGAUCUUGCAUCAUCACCUCCUCCUUUCUUCUUCUUUCUUUCAUUUUGGCAAGUGACCUUUUCCCCUCCUCCAUAAAUGUUCAUUCUUUUCCUUAUGCUAGUUCACCAUGCCUAAACCCUCUCUGCCAAUUUUCAGCUCAUUUGAAGAUGUUUUGGUUGGGUUCAAAAAUGGCUCAAGUUUGAAUUUAAUUCAAACAUGAAUUAUUUUUCUAUCCUUAAAAAUGCCCAAACCAUUUUUUAAAAUCCUUCAUAAAUCGAGGAGCCCAUGAAUAUUUUUACUUCCUCCUUAUUCUUCUCGAGACACCCUGGUCUUUUCCCUUCUUCUAUUUGGUUAUUUAUAAAUAAACAGAGAUUUGAAAGAAAUAGGAGAAGGGCUUUACCUGGACCCCAGCCCACUAGUGCCGCGGCCCAGUAGCAGCUCCUUUGCCGCCAACCACUUUCACCCAUGCGGGGCCUGCGUGUCAUCCUCCCUUCGUUACUGUGCUUCCUCCUCCUUCGCUCGUUUCCCUCUCACGGUAAAACUCCUCCAACAGAGGCACAUGGCCACGAGGGCAGCCACAGCCUCGCGCCUCCCCUCCUAUAAAGACCGCAACCCCGCGCCCUAGGGUUUACUCUCCCCCCUCUCGCCGCCGCCACCCCCUUUCCUUCCCUCUGUUUCUCCUUCCUCAAGAAACAGAGGAGCAUAGAACCACCGAGCGCUCUCCAUCGUCGUUUGCGAGGCCUCGUCGUCGUCUUCUCCGACUUCAAGCAAGACCAGGAGUCAGAAGGGCCCGAGAGCGCAGUGAUCUUCUUCCACGACGUCUUCUUCCUCUUCAUCGCCGUGGAAUGCCAAGAUCCUCGUUGUCGUCUUCAUCUUCGGCAGGAGCACACCGCCAUCGGAAUUCGUCACUGCCGGCCAUCCCCGAGCUCGACCUACUCCAGCAACCAACCCUACGUGAGCGCGAUCACCUCCCACGCAUGGUCCUCCUCUCGUUUGUGCCCUGUUUUGGUCAUGUCCUCUCGGACCCGAGAGCUUCUCCGCCACGGCAUGGUCGCCGGUGUAGUUCCGGUGACCCCUGCUUGCGAUUUUGCUUCCGCUGCACUCGCGCCGACGCGUAGGGCACAUACGGUCUUUGAUUUUCGUCCUUCGUUUGCUCUAGCCCCACCACCGCGGGACCUCAUCACCGGCGAGGUUUCCGUCCGUGUUUCAAUGCAUCCAUAGCACCUUUAGGAUCACCUUGUAGCGCAACGUCUUUCGGUGCCCUCCUCUGCGUGUUUUGGUCGUCGGAGUUCCUCUGACGAUCUCACCCGUUGUUCUGCUUGCCCACCUUGUUCUUCUCUGCUCCUUGCGUGCGUUCGUGACCGCUUGCUUCGAUGCUCAUGCCGCUGCUCGCUUCGCUGGUCCACACUACAGCCCCCGCAGGUCACGUCCCACGCUCGCGCAGCACGCCCGCACCUUCGCACCACCCAGCACAGCCAACACCUCACCGUGCCUCGCUACCGCGUCCGAGACGAGCUCCUGUUCGAGCUCGUUCUCAAAGCGCUUCAUCACCUGCGCACGCGCCCAUCACACCACACACACACUCACCUAUUUCGGCAACCCCGCCGUCGGCCUGUGAUCGCGACGGUCGCCGUCUUGCUCGCCGGCGUCAUCGCCCAGUUUGUCUGUGUUCCACGAAGAAGAAGGCCUGGCCUCUGUUGUUUAUGUUCAAGUUCAGCCACGCCCUUGUUUUGUACAAAUGUACAGCAGCGGCGCAUUGGUCAGCACGCUGCUCCUCUUUCCAGGAGGUUUUGGGUUCAAGUCCCAGCCGCCCCCUUUUUCUGGCUCUGUUUUCCUACUAUUUUGCACACCCACAACCACUUGGGCCGAUUCCUCAUCUGGGCCGCUGCAGCGUGAUGCUUCGGGCCCGUCCAUGUUAUAUUUUUUUCCUGGUUUUGGUUAAUUUCGUAUGCAUUGCAUAUUUACAGAAAUGCCUUUAUUUUUGCUUUGCUAAUAACUAAAUGUGCAUGCACCCAAAUGAAAAAUGUCAUAUAUGUAAAAUUCUUAGAUUUUCAUAUACUUUCAUAACAUGCAUCUUUUAUCCAUGUUAAAAUAUUUAAAAUUGUUGUUUGUAUUAAUUUGCAUAUAUGCCAUGCUAAAAUGAAUUAUUUCAUAACUUAAUAACCGUAGCUCCAAUCUUAAUAAAAUUUAUAUGUAAAUGGGGUAGAAAAAUGCCUAGUUUGACAUGGUGGCAGUACUUUGCAUGUUUAAAUACUCUAAAAUUGUGUAUAGGGCAGAACAGUACCAAAUCCAUAUUUUGCGUAUGGGGAUUUACUGGACUUGUUGUUUGUUGUUUCCGGCCUCAUUUAAACUUGCCUAGAUAGGUAGUUUUGUUGUGCUUCACCCCUUGCCAUGUUAAUCAAUAUUUAAUAUUGUUGGGUACAUAAAUGAGAGGAACUAAAUAAUUGACGUGGUGUUUCGUCAAUAUGCAACGGAGUUGCAUAUUGAGCUCCACUUAAUGUGUAGGAUUGUUUGUGCAUUUUGCCAUACCAUGCCUCACUUGGUUGUGCAUCAUGCCAUGAUUAUGUGAUGGUUGUUUACCAUGUUGUUUGCUUCUUUCCAGUGUGCUUCUUCGGGUUGGUUCCGUUAACGUCGCAUUUGUGAGGAUUCGUUCGACUACGUCUAUUUGUCUUCUUCAUGGACUCGUUCUUCUUCCUUGCGGGAUCUCAGGCAAGAUGACCAUACCCUCGAAAUCACUUCUAUCUUUGCUUGCUAGUUGUUCGCUCUAUUGCUAUGCCGUGAUACCUACCACUUGCUUUAUCAUGCCUCCCAUAUUGCCAUGUCAAGCCUCUAACCCACCUUCCUAGCAAACCGUUGUUUGGCUAUGUUACCGCUUUGCUCAGCCCCUUUUAUAGCGUUGCUAGUUGCAAGUGAAGUUGAAGUUUGUUCCAUGUUGGAACAUGGAUAUGUUGGGAUAUCACAAUAUCUCUUAUUUAAUUAAUGCAUCUAUAUACUUGGUAAAGGGUUGACGGCUCGGCCUUAUGCCUGGUGUUUUUUUUUCACUCUUGCUGCCCUAGUUUCUGUCAUACCGGUGUUAUGUUCCUUGAUUUUGCGUUCCUUACGUGGUUGGGUGUUAUGGGAACCCCUUAACAGUUUGCUUUGAAUAAAAGUCCUCCAGCAAGGCCCAACCUUGGUUUUAGCAUUUGCCUCACCUAGCCUUUUUCCCUUGGGUUUCCUGAGCCCGAGGGUCAUCUUUAUUUUAACCCCCCGGGCUAGUGCUUCUCUAAGUGUUGGUCCAACCUGAGCGAUGUCCGGCGCCCCCUGGGCAACCAGGGUCUAUGCCAACCCGACGUCUUGCUCAUCCGGUGUGCCUUGAGAACGAGAUACGUGCGACUCCUAUCGGGAUUUUUUGGCACAUCAGGCGGCUUUGCUGGUCUUGUUUUACCAUUGUCGAAAUGUCUUGUAACCGGGAUUCCGAGUCUGAUCGGGUCUUCCUGGGAGAAGGAAUAUCCUUCGUUGACCGUGAGAGCUUGGGAUGGGCUAAGUUGGGACACCCCUGCAGGGUUUUGGACUUUUGAAAGCCGUGCCCGCGGUUAUGGGCAGAUGGGAAUUUGUUAACAUCUGGUUGUAGAGAACUUGAAACUUAACUUAAUUAAAAUGCAUCAACCGCGUGUGUAGCCGUGAUGGUCUCUUUCCGGCGGAGUCCGGGAAGUGAACACGGUUCUUGUGUUAUGCUUGAACGUAAGUAGUUUCAGGAUCACUUCUUGAUCACUUCUAGUUCACGAUCGUGCAUUGCUUCUCUUCUCGCUCUUAUUUGCGUAUGUUAGCCACCAUAUAUGCUUAGUGCUUGCUGCAGCUCCCCCUCACUACCCUUUCCUACCCAUAAGCUUAAAUAGUAUUGAUCUCGCGGGUGUGAGAUUGCUGAGUCCUCGUGGCUCACAUAUACUUCCAAACAGUUGCAGGUGCCGAUGAUACCAGUGCAGGUGACGCAACCGAGCUCAAGUGGGAGCUCGAUGAAGAUCUUGUUCGUUGUGUUGUUUUGUUUCCUGUUGAUCGGUAGUGGAGCCCAGUUGGGGCAAUCGGGGAUCUAUCAUUUGGGGUUGUCUUAUUUUAUUUUGGUUCCGUAGUCGGACCUUGAUUGUACUCUGGAUGAUGUAUGUUUAACUUGUAUUUAUGUGAAGUGGCGAUUGUAAGCCAACUAUUUAUCCCUUUCUAUUUAGUACAUGGGAUUGUGUGAAGAUUACCCCUCUUGCGACAUGCCUACCAUGCAGCUAUGCCUCUAAGUCGUGCCCCAACACGUGGGAGAUAUAGCCGCAUUGUGGGUGUUACACUUGAUAUCUUUUAUAAUGGACUAACCGAUGCUUCCAGAGAUUACCUGGAUAGUUGUGAUGGUUCUGUUUUCAGGGAAAGAACACCGGAUGAAGCUGAAAUUCUAUUGAAUAAUAUGUUGACAAAUGAAAAUAAUUGGACACUUCCUGAGCCUAUUCCUAAACCAACUCCGAAUAAGAGAGGUGUUCCAUUUCUCAGUCCUGAAGAUAUGCAAGAGGCAAAGAAAUCUAUGAAAGAAAAAGGUAUUAAAGCUGAAGAUGUUAAGAAUUUACCUCCUAUUGAAGAAAUACAUGGUCUUAAUUUACCGCCUCUUGAAGAAACAUAUGAUCUUAAUCCAUUACCUAUCGAAGAAAUACAUGGUCUUGAUAACCCAACACAGGUACUAAAGGUAAAUUUUCUCUAUAGAUAUGAUAAAGCUAAAAUCCCAUUUACAAAGUUUGCUAGCUCAUGCUUAGACGAGUUUGAUAAAUUUAUGGUUAAGCAAGAAGACUUCAAUGCUUAUUUUGGUAGACAAUUGAAAUACAAUUCAAAUAUGCUUGAACACUUGGGUGAUUAUAUGGCUAAUGUCAAAGGUGAACUUAAACUUAUUAGUAAACAUGCUUCUAUGGUUACCACUCAAGUAGAACAAGUACUUAAAGCUCAAAAUGAUUUGCUCAAUGAACUGAAUAAUAAGAAUAAUGAUUAUGCUGUUAGAGUUAUGACUAGAGGUGGUAAAAUGACUCAGGAACCUCUGUAUCCUGAAGGCCACCCUAAGAGAAUUGAGCAAGAUUCUCAGAGAAAUAAUAUAGAUGCACCUAGUCCUUCUAAAAGGAAGAAAAAGAAAAAUGAUAGGACUUUGCAUGCUUCUAGUGAACCUAUUACUGAAACACCUGAGAAUCCAAAUGAUAUUUCUAUUUCUGAUGCUGAAACACAAUCUGGUAAUGAACCUGAAACUAGUGAUAAUGUUAAUGAUAAUGUUCAUGAUGAUGCUCAACCUAGUAAUGAUAAUGAUAUAGAAAUUGAACCUGUUGUUGAUCUUGAUAACCCACAAUCAAAGAAUCAACGCUAUGAUAAGAGAGAUUUUGUUGCUAGGAAACACGGUAAAGAAAGAGAACCUUGGGUUCAGAAACCUAUGCAUUUUCCUCCCGAACCAUCCAAGAAAAAGGAUGAUGAGGAUUUUGAGCGCUUUGCUGAAAUGGUUAGACCUAUCUUUUUGUGUAUGCGAUUAACUGAUAUGCUUAAAAUGAAUCCUUAUGCUAAGUACAUGAAAGAAAUUGUUACUAAUAAAAGAAAGAUACCGGAAGCUGAAAUUUCCACCAUGCUUGCUAAUUAUACUUUUAAGGGUGGAAUACCAAAGAAACCUGGGGAUCCAGGAGUACCCACUAUACCAUGCUCCAUUAAAAGAAAGUAUGUGAAAACUGCUUUAUGUGAUCUUGGAACCGGUGUUAGUGUUAUGCCUCUCUCUUUAUAUCGUAGACUUGAUUUGAAUAAGUUGACACCUACUGAAAUAUCUUUGAAAUGGCUAAUAAAUCAACUGCUAUACCUGUCGGUAUUUGUGAGGAUGUGCCUGUUGUGGUUGCAAAUGUUACUAUUUUAAUGGAGUUUGUUAUUCUUGAUAUUCCCGAGGACGAUAGUAUGUCUAUUAUUCUUGGAAGACCUUUUUUGAAUACUGCAGGGGCUAUUAUUGAUUGCACCAAAGGCAAUGUCACUUUUCAUGUUAAUGGUAAUGAGCAUAAUGGUAAUGAGAUUUUUGCGCGGCUGCUGGAGCACCCAUUUCGGCUCCGCAUGCUCAAAAAAGCAGUUUGUUCUAGUGCGCGGCCAAGAUAGCGCACCUAUUGGAGAUGCUCUGAUGUUAUCGACGCUGCGGGGAGAAUCUUGUGUCUGGUGAAGCAGUCGCCCAUCUCCGGAUGGAGAAGGCCUUGCCUAGCCCGGCGUCAUGCACGGCACACUCAAAGGCGGUGGUCAUGGCGAAGUACUUCCGGAGCACCUCCACCAUGCAAGGCAUGGCGGCCAGACGCACCAUUCACAAGGGAGCCUCGAGGAAGCAUGGAUUCAGCCUUCCUUCGCCAAAAUUGCCGCCGUCCCAAGAGCGAGAAUGGAAGAAGCCUUGCUUGCAGGGGCGCAUCAGGGGCUAUGGAGUGUUGGGGGGAGGGGCAAUUUCAGGGACAGGGGCGUCGAUGUGGGGAUGCACUUCAGCGGGACUUCGAGGAACGGGCCGUCAGAGGGUUAGCGGAGGGGCUGUGAUGCAGCUUUGGCCUCCUUGCAUCGUUGUGCUAGAUGAUACGUCUCCAACGUAUCUAUAAUUUUGAUUGUUGCAUGCUAUUAUAUUAUCUUUUUGGAUGUUUUAUAUGCAUUAAUAUGCUAUUUUAUAUUAUUUUUGGGACUAACCUACUGACCUAGAGCCCAGUGCCAGUAUAUGUUUUUCCUUGUUUUUGUGUUUUACAGAAAAGGAAUAUCAAACGGAGUCCAAACGGAAUAAAACUUUCAUGAUGAUUUUUCUUGGACCAGAAGACAUCCACAGAACUUGGAGAGGGGGUCAGAAGAUGACCGAGGAGGCCACAAGGCUCCCAAGCGUGCCCCGGUGGGGGUGCCCUGAGGGCUUGUGAGCCCCUCGGGUGUCCUCCAACCCUAAUUCUUGCUCCACAAAUACCCAAAUAUACCCAAACCACCAGAGGCAUCCACCAAAAUACUUUUCCUCCACGGCAAGCCUCUAUUCCCGUGAGAUCCCAUCUUGGGGCCUUUUCGGGCACCCUACCAGAGGGGGAUUCGAUCACGGAGGGCAUCUACAUCAACCUUGCUGCCCUUCCGAUGAAGCGUGAGUAGUUUACCACAGACCUACGGGUCCAUAGCUAGUAGCUAGAUGGCUUCUUCUCUCUCUCUGUAUGAUCUUCAAUACCAUGUUCUCCUCGAUGUUCUUGGAGUUCUAUCCGAUGUAAUAUUCUUUUGCGGUGUGUUUGUCGAUAUCGAAUGAAUUGUGGAUUUAUGAUCAUAUUAUCUAUUAAUAUUAUUUGAGUCUUUUGUGAACCCUUUUAUGCAUGAUCAAAUAUCUUUGUAUUUCUCUUCAAAUUAUCAGUUUGGUUUGGCCAACUAGAUUUAUUUUUUUUGCAAUGGGAGAGGUGCUUAGUUUUGGGUUCAAUCUUGCGGUGUCCUCACCCAAUGACAAAGUAGGGGUAGCGAGGAACGUAUUGUAUUGUUGCCAUCAAGGGUAAAAAGAUGGGGUUUUCAUCAUAUUGCUUGAGUUUAUCCCUCUACAUCAUGUCAUCUUACUUAAGGCGUUGCUACUUCUUGAGCUUGCGUUGGUUUUCCCUUGAAGAGGAAAGGGUGAUGCAGCAAAGUAGAGAUAAGUGACAAAGUAGGGGUAGCGAGGCACGUAUUGUAUUGUUGCCAUCAAGGGUAAAAAGAUGGGGUUUUCAUCAUAUUGCUUGAGUUUAUCCCUUUACAUCAUGUCAUCUUAUUUAAGGCAUUGCUACUUCUUGAGCUUGCGUUGGUUUUUCCCUUGAAGAGGAAAGGGUGAUGCAACAAAGUAGAGAUAAGUAUUUCCCUCAGUUUUAAGAACCAAGGUAUCAAUCCAGUAGGAGGUACACGCAAGUAUUCAAUCUAUGCACCUGCACAAACAAUCAAACACUUGCAGCCAACAUGAUAAAGGGGUUGUAAAUCCCUUCACGGUCACUUGCAAGGAUGAGAUCUGAUAGAGAUAGAUAUAAAACAUUACUAAAACGUAAAACUAAGUAAAAAACAAAUAAAUUGCAGCGAGGUAUUUUUGGGGUUUUUUGGUUUAUAGAUAUGAAAAUAUAUGAUGGAAAAUAGACACGGGGGCCAUAGGUUUCACUAGAGGCUUCUCUCUUGAAGAAAAAUAAUACGGUGGGUGAACAAAUUACCGUCGAGCAAAAUUGAUAGAAAAGCGCAAAGUUAUGACGAUAUCCAAGGCAAUGAUUAUGAAUAUAGGCAUCAUGUCUGUGUCAAGUAGACCGACUUCUUCCUGCAUCUACUACUAUUACUCCACACAUCGACCGCUAUCCAGCAUGCAUCUAGAGUAUUAAGUUCAUAAGAAUGGAGUAACGCGUUAAGUAAGAUGACAUGAUGUAGCACAAAAAAUACACUUCCGUGAUGAUACGUGUUUGUCACAGUUGGUCACGUUUUCUGUCAUGCAUGUACAUCCAUGACGAUUUUAUGACAGAAUCAAGAUAGUCAUACCUGGGCUGUCGUAGAAGUGUUCCAUGACAUUACCAAAAUUACCAUCACGGAAGUGUCACUUCCAUGACGAUAAAUGGCGCAUCAUGGAAGUGUUUUCGUCAAGGGUAACUGACACGUGGCAUCCACCGUAAUAGGUCGCCGUUAAGCUAUCGGGUCCGGUUUUGGAUCCGAUAACCUGUUAACAGCCCGGAUGAAUGGGGAUUUUCCACGUGUAAAAUUCUCAUUGGCCGGAGGAAACACAUGUUGGCUCACCGUUGGGACAGGUGCCAUCCACUCAUUGGACAGGAGGCGCCUAUGAUACGUCGACACAUGGCACGGCCCAACAGAGGCACAUUCCGGUGAAAAGGCCGGCCCGUUUGACUUGGUCAAAGAGGUAGCAGGCCGGCCCAUGGAAAGCCUGUUAAUAGCUUGUUAGCAUAUAGCCCAUUUAUAGCCCUCUAGGUUACGACCCGUUAUGGCUUAUCCGAAUUAGGCCCAGUAGCGUCAUCUGGGCCAUCCAGUAUGAUUCCAGCCUGUUGUAACUUCCGGCCCAUGUAUGGCCCAUGACGUAUUUCUCCCCAUAUGAGGCCCUUUGUAACUCUUGGCCCAUUAAUAGCCCGUGGUGAAACUGGCCCAUAAUGAACAGUGUAUCGCUUUAUACCCAUUAACGGCCCAUUAGUACGUCGGUCGUUUCCAGCCCAUGUUAACUUUUGGCCUUCUAAGGGCCCAUUUAUUCUUGGGCUCAUUUCCAGAAUUCGAUUACUUACGGUACGUUACUGGGCUGUUCAGCUCGUGGGCCAAAUUCAGCCCGUGGUUACAAUCGUCUUGCUUGUGGCCCGUUAACACGUUGGGCUAUUUUCGUAGCGUCAUCAAUUAUGGCCUAUUAACGGCCCGUUAUUGUCGGGCCAUAAAAUAGAUGAUUUCCACUCUAGCCCUUUUACGACCCAUUUUGCGGUCCGUCAUUGGUCCAUGAAUAGUACGACCCAUGUUUGGCGAAACGAUUAUACAACCCGUAGAACGCCCAUAGAUGAAACGGCCCAUAGAAGGCCCAUGGAUCCUAUGGUCCGUAGAAGGCCCAUGGAUCCUAUGGCCCGUGGAAGGCCCAUGGAUCGUACAGCCCGUGGAGGGCCAUGGUCACUACAACAGGUAGCAGGACCAUGGUCACAACAGUCUGUGUGUUGCCAUGGUUAUUGUGGCCACUGGAAAAACGCGAAAAAAGAACUACAGUGACUACAAGCAAACAACUAAACAAGACGAUAUGGAAAUAAAUAAGCAAAGAACUAACGCUAGGCUAUUACGGCUAUUACACGUAUUACAUCCACUGGGCAUCAAAGUUCGCCAACAGUGCAAAUAUAGGGAACAAAGCAGCAUAUUACAUACACUGGCCGUCUAAAUUGGCCACCAAUGCAAAUAAACGCGACAGCAAAACAAGUCCAUAACUGAAACAACUUCAGAAUAGCUCAAGAAACUUUAUCCUGGGUAUCCACCAUGUUGGCAAUUAGCUUAGCAAUCUUAUUAGCUUUGUCCUGUUUGGCGCUAAAAUCCUCAAACGCUUGUUGUUGCACCAGAAAGUACACAUCUGAAUGCUCCAGGGACUUCCACAGUCAUUUCGCUUCUUGUCGCAGCACAACUGAUUGGUGCCUUUCAGCUUGUAGUUGAGACUCAAGAAACUGAACUGAUUCAGACAGUGAGUUUGAAUAGCUUGUGCAAGCAGUAGUGGCCAGUAACUCAAACACUAAACCAAGACAUGACUUUGGGGUUGUCUCACUGUCUUCAAGAUAGUUUUCCUUAGCUGUUUUAUCAGCUUUGUUGGAGACCAACAAGGAUGUCUCACUAUCCUGAACCUUAUCUGCAUUACUUCCUUUACCAUUGCUUAAUAAGGCACUCUUCCCCAAUAUUCUCUCAGCAUUCCAAAAGAAGAAACAAGCAGACACAUAACAGGUUUAGCAUAUACUAGUAUAUGAAACUCAUUUCGGUGAACCAGUUCAUUAGUAAGGUGGACAUGAUUAAACUACCAAGUCUUCUAUUGCCAGGUAGUACCUAAUAAAAGCAUCAAACAAACAUAUAUCUAUGUCCUAUGGUCACUGCAUUGUCUUGCCAAAUCAAAAUAGAGACACUGUUCAAAUCAUAUCAGUUCAAGACAAAACAUCACUGAAAGAAUACAAAGCGUGGGAAACUACACGACACAACAAGAUUUCAUAUGGGUACCACGGGUCUACAUGUACAACAACACUAUUGGCUCUGUUGUGAUGCUAGUGAUGUGCAUGAUAUGAGAAGUCAAUUGUAUACACAAUUGAAAUUGAAAUCAACAGAGCUAUUGAGAAGAGCAAACUUGUUCAAGAAACAUGCGUAAACAUACCUGUUGUGCCAUUGGAGUCUCGAUUGGAUCCUUCAAUUUAAAAAUAAGUUUGUAUGAGUAAAUAUAGUGAUACAAGAGCAAAGCAGUAUGCACGAUAGCAAUGGAAUCUUAAAUGAGAAUAAUUGUUCUUCAGGUUUAAGCACUUGUUCUACAUGAAUAGAGUAUAGUAAGACACAAGAAUAUAGUACUUAAAAUAGAAAAUGAGCUCAUAGACUUUACCACAUUCUUGGUUUGGGACCAGUACAGAACAAGGCGUUCCCAGUCAUCGUCCAGUAAAUGUGUCUCGGGAGAAUGUAAGGGAAUUUGAUGAGUUUCUUUGCCACUGAAGUACGUUUUCUUCAAGUAAUUCCGAUACUACCACCAAGCAUUCUUGAAGAUAGCAGAGGUAUUAGCACUCAUUCUCUAUAGAGAAAAAUGGGAAAAUUUGUUGUAUUAUAACCAUCAUGGAGGUAGAAUGUAUGGGACAAAGUAAAGUAAUUGCCAUGAAUACCAUUACUUAUACAUAACUCCUGGACAAACACCUGCAACUGGCAUUUUCCUUCAUCUUCAGUAUAAUAAUUCCAUGAUCGGAAGAUACGCACAUAGGAUUUAACAACAUCAAAUGCGGUAGAUGCUAAACUACGACUGGCUGGUUGUGCUUCCUCCACAGGAAUAGGUGUACUAACUGGUGGAGUUGGGGUUCGCCGUGGUAGUACUAGCGCUUUGGGCACUGGAGCUGCUGUCAGAUUUCGGGUUCCGGCAGACCCUUAAGGUUCGAACUCUAGGGUGCGCACGGAGAUCUUUCCCCUACCGACUCGCGCUUCUAUGGCUCGUAAGAAAUCUAGGCUGGAAAGAAGAACACACAAAGGAAACGAGGUUUAUACUGGUUCGGGCCACCGAUGUGGUGUAAUACCCUACUCCAGUGUGUGGUGUGGUGGAUUGCCUCAGGGGCUGAUGAUGAACAAUACAGGGGGAAGAACGGCCUCGCGAGAGGUGUUCUUGAGCUGGUGCAGUGUGUUCUACUUGGUCCGGAUCUCUCUCUCUUUCUCUUCUCUCCCUCCUUUUUUCUCUCUCCCUUUUCUUCUUUUCCCCCCUCUUUUCUCUUCGGGGGAUAGUCCUAUUUAUAGAGGCCCUGGUCCUCUUCCCAAAUAAUGAGCGGGAAGGGCGCCAACAAUUGGCCAUUUUGAAGGGGAACAUCUAGUACAAGUUAUCCUGACCAAAGGUGGUCUUCGGCUGCCAAAAGCACUGGUGAUGAUGCCGUCUUGGGCUCCACAGUGACCCCCGUCCUGCCGCUCUGCUGGUCUUGGUCUCGUUGCACCGGAAUGGUAACCUUUGCCCGAUGCCUUGGCCUGUGCUUGCUCCCUUUGCACUGAAGGGGAAACAAGGACACUGCGUAGCCUGACGCCCACCUAAUCUCGAUCGUCAUGGCUUGCGUCACGGGCUCCUCGCGAGGCACCCCUGCCUUGAUCUCUCUGCCUCCUCGCGAGCAUGCCUGAUGAGGCUGCUCCUAAGGAAGCCUCCUGUCGUCCGCCCCGCAAGGCUUGGCCCCUUGCGAGGGUCUUGAGCUUGAGCUGGUGAAGCUGGGCCACACUGGGCCCCCACUCGAGCCACGCCGCAGGCCGCAGGCAGGCAAGUCUGGGGACCCCCGUUCCCAGAAUGCCGAUAGUAGCCCCCGGGCCCAAGGCGCGCCCAGGCUUGGCUUAGCAGAGAAGCGAAGGGGCAAGCACGAAGCGCCACGGGCCGCAAUAGCCUGCGGCCUUGGGCGCUAGCGAUUGAUUGGACGUGGGUGUCUGCGCUUCCCCACGACGCCUCGGCAACCACUCGACUUGACAAGUCCCUGCAUGCAGAGAAAUGGGUCAUGAUUACCUGCAAUCAUGGUGGCCGGCGGUUGGCCUUCUCUGACUAUAAGUACGGGGCCGUGUGAGCCUCGUUAGCUUAUCCCUUCCUGCUACUCCUUUCCUUCCUCUUCCUCGUCCUUGCUUCUCCUUACGCCAAUGGCACCAAUCCACCGGUUUUCUGCAGAAGAGAAGGGAAAGCCCCCCCGAAAAGGUCCUGACCCUCUUCCGCCGAAGAAACAGCUAGUCCCCUGCCGCCGAGACGAGGGUGCUUGGCAGGAGGCGUCGAGGCCCUGGUACGAGCGGCCACCACCUGGGUUUCCACUGCCCUUGUACGCCCGAAUCGAGGGCCCUGGGGAAGAGGGCGUCGAGCGACACCGACGGUGCCGCGGCCGACGCUGGUGAGUCACGACGGUGCACGUCAUUCCUCCUGGAGUCCACGCCGAGGGCUCCUGCUGUGAGCUCGUGCUUCACGCUGCCAUGCCCCCAUGCUCUUGGAUCCGCCUUCCUCCCUCCUUCGCCUUCGAGAUGCCGCCGAUCGGGUCUCUGGAGCUCUGGCUGCAGCACGCCGACUGCAACACCAUCGUGACCGGAGAGGAGGUCGCGGUCGUCGCUCCGAGCAAGGUCUACAUGACCCGGGGCUGGGGUGAGAUUGCCCGGGUCUGCCGGACGGAGGGUGCCCUCGUAAUUCAUCUUGAAUACGACGUCACUUCCCUGAUGUUCUUCAAGGUCUUCGAUGCUGAAGGAUGCCGGUUGGAGUGCUGCCCCAAGGAAAGCGGCAGGGUCAUCGGACUGGCGAGGACCUGGCCUGCCCAUCAGCCCUCCAGCAGCUCUUCAGGCGGCAGCGGAGGAGCUGGGGAACCCAGCGGCUCCCCCGAGCUUCUCGUGACAUCGAAGAUGAGCAACGACAGCUACGAGCCUCCGAGCUUGUGCCGUGCUCGGAGUAGGGCAACUGCAUCGGGUCGCCGACGCCACUGAUCUGGGUGAGGUUGGCACCGGCGCCGGGCAGUCCACUAUUGAUGAUGGCGUCGCUUGCGGAGGCGCGGGCAAUUAGCGUUCCUUAGGAUUAGCACCUUUUGUUCCCUGCGAGGAAUCGAAGCAACAGCCCGCGGGGGUAUGUAAGGCGCCUACCAUGUAUUUUGCGAACAUUAUAUCCCUAAUAUGAAUCGAUGCGAGAUGCUUGUCCUGUCCCGGCUCAGCUCCCCCUUUCUAUCCUCACGAGGACUUAGUGCUCUACUCUGACAGGUCCCAGUCCCCAGGCAGGCUUCAGCCGUCGCUGGUAUGCCAGGUCGCGAUGCCGUGGUCAAGGCUAGGAGGUGAGCGACCCGAGGUCCGGUAAGAGCCCCUGAGUCGCGAUGCUCGGGAGGUCCCCUUUAGCGCUCGAGCAGCCCUCACUGGGCGAGAAAGGAAGGCAUUGUCGUCGUGAUAGAGCUGCACUAGGCGAGGGUUUGGUGCUGCGUUGGUCCAGCUCCUGUAAGGGCGUGACUUAUCUUUUGAGUUUGGGGUAGUUCUUCAACAGGGCGCCCGGCCCGAGUGGCGGUAGCUGAGGUGCUGCUGGGUUAGGUCCUCGCGAGCUUCUUCCCACUUCCCCACACUUCUCUUAAUGCUCUACGUCCUCAGGUCCCGGCCCUCGAGCGAGCUCAGCCGCUGCUGGUAUCACAGGUCGCGAUGCCGUGGGUCAAGGCCAGGGGGUGAGGGCUGGAGAGCUAGUAGGAGCCCAUGAGUCACGAUGCUCAAGCGCCCCCCUUUUAACAUGCAAGCGGUCUGUGUCGGAGAGAGGGAGAGAUAACCCGUGAUGUCCCCAACGUUGCUCCUGGAGUGGGUCCUGCAUACCAAUCAUAAGGAGAGACAAGACCUGUCGCUACGGUCGCCAGCCAACCAUUGGUCGCUCCGAGGGAGUGACUGGGGCACCGAGGGCCUGGUGAGGUGGCGCCUUGCGGGGCUACUACGGCCAGAGCUCGACCACUCAGAUUUAUCAGCGUUGCAGGGACGGACCCGUACGCAGACGUCGUUCCAGAGCGAGCGACUCCAUGGGUAGGUGUCAAUCGAGCUGGCGAUUAGGUUAGGUAUGUUAAGUACGAAGGAGCAAUUCCGUUUCAAGUAGAUGCAGGAAAAGCAAACGCCGCUGGGCCAGGCCCAAGCAGCUUGGGGAUGAUGCAGCCCGAGGGGCGCCCCCAACAAGGUAGGUAAAGAGCGUAAGCAAAACGGAUACCUGCCGCAGGGACGGACCCACGCGACCUGGGAACGACGCAGCCCUGUGGGCUCUCCCAGCUAAAAAUGGAACUUGAAAGAUGUCACCUGAUGCCGUUGAAGAUGAAGUGAUGCUGAAGAAGUGGGCGACGCGCGGUGAAGACGUCGACCCUCACGAGCCCCCAGGCCCAGGAGCCUCGGGAGGCUCCGGGGGCACGGGUAGGUCUUCGAGGGCCAUCUCGACCUCCGCCAGGACCUCACAAUGCCUAACCUCCUGAGCCUCCAGAAUUCUCCUCAGCAGACGCUGAUGAGCAGCGACUGCGUUCGGCAGGCCGAAAGGCAUGCAAACGUAGCUGUGAGGUGGACCCUCGCAACGCCCCACGCGCGAAGGCUAGAGGCGCUCCUGAGAUGUGGCUCGGUUGAGCCCUGGCACAUCGAUGCAGACGUGCAGCCCACCAUCCUCGCCCGGAUGUGGGGCCACGACGGGCAAGCGGCUGCUGCCGCGCAUGACUCUCGACUCCUGUAGCUCCUGGGUGUUUCCUGCGAUGAACUCCUGAGUGUUUGGUCUUCCUUGCCUCGUACCUUCCCGAGGGAAACGUGCCUGGAAGCACCCCUCCAAGUGGUGCCCGAGCGGCUCCCUCGUGACCUUGGCAAAGUCUGUGGAUCUCCAAGAAAGAGCCCCCGAGCCCUGCCUGAGGAGGGCGUCGGGCGCGCUUUCCUAUGCGACAGAGGGUGGCGCUCCCUGAACGGGCGUGAAUCCUGACGCAACGCCUCUAGAGGCGCCUGCCUCCUUAUGGCUUGGGCCAGGCGAAGCCUUCUUCUUCUUAAGGGUCGCCUCGGGAAGUCUUCCGCUCCUGUGAUCUGGGUCUUUGAUUGCUGUGGCUUGGAACACACGCUCAAGUGAACACACCGCGUCCCUUUCCUCACAGGGUACGGUGAUGACUCCACCACUUCCUGGCAUCUUGAGGACAUUGUAGCCAUAGUGAGUCACUGCCAUGAACUUGGCUAGGGCUGGGUACCCAAGGAUGGCGUUGUAUGGCAGGUGAAUGUGGGCGACGUCGAAGUCGAUGAGCUCGGUGCGGUAGUUAUUGCGCUGCUCGAAGGUGACUGGCAGGCGAACUUGCCCUAUCGAAACAGUGGAACCAUCAGUGACUCCUGAGAAAGGCUUGGUUGGCUGGAGCUGAUCAUACGACACUUGGAGAUUGUCGAACAUCUCGACGGACAGGACGUUGAGUCUUGCUCCGCCAUCAACGAGGGUCCUGGUGACCUGCACAUUGCUGAUGACUGGGGAGAAAAGCAUCGAGACAACUCCGGCCGUUGCCGUGCACUUGAGCUGAUCCACUGAGCUGAAUGUGAUGGCACACGCAGACCACCUGAGAGGGCGCGUGGCCUCAAGCUUGGGGAGGACUGCAUUCACCUCGCGAGCAAACUGCUUGAAGAUGCGCUGUGAUGCUGGGGCCUAGGCGCCACCCAAGAUGUAAGCGAUUGCACGCGGCUCUUGGAAGCCCCCAGCCCCCUCGUCUUGAUGUUGGUCUUCAUUCCUUCUUGGUGGUGGCGGUAGAGGAGGGAGGCCUGCGUUGCCGUGCGGGCGAUCCUCACAAGGCUGAUCCCUCCAGCCUCCCUCGCGAGGCUGGUCCUGCCAGCGAUCCUCGCGAGGUCGGUCACGCCACCCUUGGCGAGGGCCACAGUCUUCCCAUCGUCCUCCACCUCUUCCUCCUCCUCGGCCAUAGCCCCUGUUGUUGCGCUCGGGGCGUCGGCAGAUACGCCCAUCUCACACGGCCCUGAGCUCUUGGCAUUCGUUGGUGUUGUGGGUGUGGAGGUCAUGGUACACGCAGUAUCGGCUGCCCUUGGAUGACUCAGGCUGAUCCCAGCCUCGCUUGGUGUCUGGUUCCGCUGCGAGCACGACAGCUCCCUUAUGCUUCAUGUCCUUGGCCUUGGGCUUUUUCUAUUCUGGGUCGGCAGCCGGGAGCUCGAGGAGGGAGAGGUGCCCUUCCUCAGCCCUGGUGCACUUGGUCACCAAGUUGAAUAGCUCCAGGGAUGUGCACAGGUCUUCAUGGAUUGCCAGCUCCUCCUUCAUCUUGAUGUCGCGCACGCCAUCGGAGAAGGCUGAGAUAAUGGCUUCCUCAGUCACCCUGGGGAUCUUGAGGCGAGCGUUGUUGAAGCACUGGAUGUAUUUCUGCAGGGUUUUCCCUGGCUGUUGCUUGAUGCGGCGCAGGUCGCUUAUGGCCAGGGGCCGGUCACGAGUGUCCUGGAAGAUGGCGAUGAAGCGAGUGUGCAUCUCAUCCUAGGAGGAGAUCAUGCUGGGAGCCAGGUUCAGGAGCCAGGUGCGGGCGCCGUCCUUGAGCGCCAUGGGAAACCAGUUCGCCAUGACCUUUUCGUCUCCGUUGGUGGCUUCGAUGCCCAGCUCGUAGAGCUGCAGGAAUUCCGCGGGGUCCGCCAUGCCAUCGUAGCGAGGGGGCAGAUCAGGCUUGAACUUGCCUGGCCAUGUGACGCUGCGUAGCUCGGGGGUGAAGGCACGGCAGCCUGCUGUGGCCACCGGCACCCUUUGCUGGUGCUGGGCCUGCUCAUGGUGAUUACCACGCGCCGUCGCUUGGAGCAGCGCGGGGUCUCGGCAUGGAGGCGCAGGGACGCGUUCUUGGCGCGCCGGUGCUGGGAUGAGGGAUCUCUUGGCAGCUCCCUUCUUGCCGCGCAGGCGCUGGACGUGGAGGGUCUCGCCUUGGGGCUGCGCGCCUUGGAGCCAGGGCGCCUUCUUGGGGAGGAGGUGGCGGAGGCGCCUCCUGAUCCUCGCCCCCUGCGUGGAAUGGAGGGCGAGGCAGCGAGAGGGACGGCAAGGGAGAGCCCCCUGCGGCGCUGACGAGCUCGGUGAUGCGGGCGAGCCAGUCCUUGUAGAGGUCGUCAAUGGGGCGGUAGUGCAAGAGCUCUCUUGCCAGGAGCAGCGCGGUGUGUGCGUUCGUGGGGGCGCGACGGGCGUGAGACGACGAACCGGCUAGAGUCAGUGACGGGGUUGCGGUGCGGCCCUCCCACCGCACCGAAGGAUGCUGGGACGAGGCCUGCUGCUCGUUCCUAGCCGGGCCGGUGGCGGCGUUGGCGGCAGGCGACGGGGAACGACGAGGGCGUCUGCCGACGGGCCCCGUCUGGGCGACGCGGGUGGCGAGAGCAGCUCGGCGCUCGGCGCGAGCCCUACAAGCAUUAGCCAUGGACACGACGGAAGAUCACACGCGAACAGCGGAAGAAAGAUUCCUGCGCACCCCUACCUGGCGCGCCAAAUGUCGAAUCUCGGGUUCCGGCAGACCCUUAAGGUUCGAACUCUGGGGUGCGCACGGAGAUCUUUCCCCUACCAACUCGCGCUUCUAUGGCUCGCAAGAAAUCUAGGCUGGAAAGAGGAACACACAAAGGACACGAGGUUUAUACUGGUUCGGGCCACCGAUGUGGUGUAAUACCCUACUCUAGUGUGUGGUGUGGUGGAUUGCCUCAGGGGCUGAUGAUGAACAAUACAGGGGGAAGAACGGCCUCGCGAGAGGUGUUCUUGAGCUGGUGCAGUGUGUUCUACUUGGUCCGGAUCUCUCUCUCUCUUUCUCUUCUCUCCCUCCUUUUUUCUCUCUCCCUUUUCUUCUUUCCCCCCCUCUUUUCUCUUCGGGGGCUAGUCCUAUUUAUAGAGGCCCUGGUCCUCUUCCCAAAUAAUGAGCGGGAAGGGUGCCAACAAUUGGCCAUUUUGAAGGGGAACAUCUAGUACAAGUUAUCCUGACCAAAGGUGGUCUUCGGCUGCCAAAAGCACUGAUGAUGAUGCCGUCUUGGGCUCCACGGUGACCCCCGUCCUGCCGCUCUGCUGGUCUUGGUCUCGUUGCACCGGAAUGGUAACCUUUGCCCGAUGCCUUGGCCUGUGCUUGCUCCCUUUGCACUAAAGGGGAAACAAGGACACUGCGUAGGCUGACGCCCACCUAAUCUCGAUCGUCAUGGCUUGCGUCAUGGGCUCCUCGCGAGGCACCCCUGCCUUGAUCUCUCCGCCUCCUCGCGAGCAUGCCUGAUGAGGCUGCUCCUGAGGAAGCCUCCUGUCGUCCGCCCCGCAAGGCUCGGCCCCUUGCGAGGGUCUUGAGCUUGAGCUGGUGAAGCUGGGCCGCACUGGGUCCCCACUCGAGCCACGCUGCAGGACGCAGGCAGGCAAGUCUAGGGAUCCCCGUUCCCAGAACGCCGACAGCUGCCUUACUGAGUGCUCUUUUUUGGAAGCUCUGUGGUGGAGAUGGUGCCGUGUCAACAGGAAUUGGGUUACUAUCUGCUAGGGUUGGGGUUAGAUUGGGUGAAGCUAGUUCUUUGUCCAUCGUAGUAGGGGUACAAUCUGUGAGAGUGUGGGUUAUGUGUGGUAGGGCUAGUUCUCAUGCAUGUACAACCGCGGUGCUAUCUCCACCAAGAGGUAGCACUGUUUUAUUUGAAGACCAUGUUUUUACUCCGCUAGAUACUGGCAUCACCCACUCCAAUUCAAAUGGGUGAUAAACAAGAAACAUAGUUGAAUGUACAAACACUGUAUGAGAGACAGAUGCAAUAGAUAGUGUGGAAAAAAGAGGGCAUGAAAUAGUUGACAUGUAUAUUGUUUAACUAAAAUGGAUAGCAUGGCAUAAUUUCACAUAUAUGAUUUCUAUCUAAACUGGAUUGCAUAGCAUAACAUAAUUCAAAGAUAUGAUGAAUAACUAAACAUGAUCACAUGACAUAAUUCACAUACAUGUUAUCUAAGUAAUCAGGAUCGCAUGAUUUAAUUCACAUAUGUGAUUUAUAUGCUAAGCAGAGGGCAUUCACAUAUAUGAUGUCUGAACUAAGAACAUGGUGUUGAAUAUUGUGUAUAUGAUUUCUAAACUAUGCAAUGUAAGACACCAUAUGCAUGAUAUGAACAAGAUAACAGUGCCAAGUUAGAGCAUACACCUUGGUGGGGGAAUAAGAUUGGCCAUGUGUCUCUGAAUCCAUCUCUGAGGAACUAUCGGGACCUAAUAAGAGAUCUGCUUCGACAAGUAGCACUGUCUGCUCUGAAGGCCUUAUUUUCACUCCAUAUUUUUCCAUCUCCCACUCAAAUGGCUGAUUCACAGGAAGAGUAGUUUAAUGUACAAACAUUGUCGACAAAUCGAAAUGUAAUGAAGAAAAGGAUGGGCAAGAUAUCAUUCAAAUAUAUGAUGCCUGGUUAAACAGGAUGGCAUUGCACAUUUCACAUAUAUUAUGGCUGGCUAAAAGACAUGAGACUGCAUAAUUCCCAUAUAUGAUAUAGAAACUAAAUAGGUGGCAUUAUAGAACAUGUCUAAACUACGCAGAUGACAUAUAUGAUGUCGAAAGUAGGCACUGCAAGGCAACAUAUGCAUGAUAUGACUAAGAUCAUCAUGCCAAGGUAGAGCAAACACCUUGGGCGGUAAAUAGGAGUGGUCGGGUGCGUCUAAAUCCGCCUCGAAACAGCCUAUGGAUUACAAUCUGGAGAGGGGUGGGGGCUUGCCAUUGAACCCACAAUGGAGCAAUGUCUGAAUGACGUUGUAUUGCCACGAAAAACUCUUCUCUUUUUCUCUACAUGUUUAGCAUGACUGUGUACAAUAUUUGACACGCAUACGAAAAAAAUAUGGUGAGAUUAUGUAAGGAGAGCAUGUGGAAAUCUAGAGUGAUGGUAACAACCAGUGGACGGAUCCAAAAAUAAUGAUAGUAGGCUGAUGAUUGCUUUAAUUUAAUAAAAAGACAAAUGUUGAUUGCUUUACUAUUUGUUUCCCACCAACAUGAACAACAUAGGCAUACCCUAGGUGAAUCAGAUAUUAGACAGAGAUACUAUUCAUUGCUGCCUCGAUAUGUGCCCCACAACUAAUUUAGAACUCAAGUUUGAACAUUAAUUUGGACCUGACUUGGAGUCUAAGAGGUGAACAAGACUAUAAAGUAGCAGGUAAUUUUAAGCAAUACAAAACAUAAGAAGAAACAAAAGAGUAGGACCUCUCUUGUGGACCCGUGUACUCCUCAGGUUCAUCUGCUGAGUCGAUGAUGGUGAUGCCGUUGCGGUGGGUGCCGGCGGCAGGGAAGGAGAUCUGAGGCGGCGAAAGACGGUCAUAAGUCAUGAUGUCUGGUUUGGUGGAUGCUUCUGUCGAUGGAGCAGCUCAGGUGAGGUGGACGACGUCACGGAAGGAGCAGGACAAACCACACAAAGUUUUCUUCGACACCUACCUGUAACUGAAGUAAUUCUGUAAGGGCUCAUUUGACUUGUGUCGGGGAUAUACCCCGCGGUAUGAUCCGGCCGGAGUUAUAACCUGACUGGGACUUAGUAAACCGGCUGACAGUUAAGACAGAUGGCUAAGACGGACGAUAAACCGGAGGGUGGUAAACCGACAGGUGUUACGGUAGGUGGUAAACCGGCAGGUGUUAAGGAAGGUGGUAAACCGGUUGGUGUUAAGUCACACGGUAAACCGACAGGUUGUUAAACCGGCUGACAGUUAAGACAGACAGGUAAAGCAGGUAGUUAACCCAGACGGUAAACCGACAGGUUGUUAAACCGGCUGACAGUUAAGACAAGAGUCAAGUCAGAUGAUAACUUAGCAGACAAUCAUAAACCGGCAGACCAUCUUAAACCGGCACCAGUUAUAACCCGACAGACAGUGAUAACUGGGUUGCCAGGAGUUAUGAAGCCCGAGACAUUAUGAAGCCCAAGAUGUUAAGAAGCCCAUGAGGAGAAGUCAUAAUAGUUAAGUCUUAAGUCUGAGUUGGACUCUACAUGUAACCCACCCCUUUAACUUAUAUAAGGAGAGGCAGGGCUCCCCAAAGAGGGACAAGUAAGAAGAAACAAUCUUAAGGGUUAGGGAUAACAGGGAGAGCCGAUUUACGGCGACUCCUUUGUGAUGAUAAUAAGACCUAGCCGCAAACAACACGUAGGGUUGUUGCCGGAUGAUGUUUCUCGGGGCCCGAAGUUGUCUAAAUCCUUCUCUUGUGAUGCGUCUCCCGAUUCCGCUCAACCCCUCUCAAGCUACCACAUAGAUGCGUUGGCCUCACGACUAAGUCCUCACACUAGGACAUCUGCCGUGAUAACUCCACGAUAGUUGGCGCCCACCGUGGGGCUUGCGCACGGUAGUGUUGAGUUCUUGGAGGGAUCUCUUUCAGGGAUUGAGAAGCUCGCAAUGUGGUUGGAUGAAGAAAAGCUAGGACCAAACAAUCCCGCGGGAUAAACCGGCAUUGGAUAAACUUUGGGAGAGACUGGCAAAUUCAUUGUUUCUGAUCAAAAUUGUGAUGGAGCGAGCAGUAUGAGGUUUAAGUCAAUGAGAUUAGAGUUGCAUCGCGUGCAGCUGCCGCCCCAAAAAAUCACCAAAACCGUCAGGGGUACGACAUCUGGAGUCUAAAUCCGAGGCAAUCCAGUUUGUCGGUGGUGCUAAACAUAUAGCCAUCCAAAUCUAAGGCAGUACAUGGGGAGCGGCGCGCUAUACGAGAUCGCAAGGAUAUCAACUGAGGUCAGGUGUUACUAUAUCGGCAUGGGUACAUACGCGUCAUCCUGUGUACCAGCACUGCUGCUGCUUCAAUUCCGAACUCGAACACGUGGGAAACGUCAACUGUAAUGCUACUGUUUGAUUCUUCGGCAACAACUCCAGAUUUGACCGUCAUUGAUUUCUUCCCAGGGAGACCAAAAACAGGUUAUCUAGUAUGACGUGUGGAGGCACUAGUACAGAGUAUUAAUCAGAUGCCACGAGGCGUAUUACUGGUGGCAAAGGGUUGCUAUACAUAGCAGAAUAAACCGAUCUAAGCCGGCUUACUCAGCGUAUAAAAAAAAGGGACGCCCGGAGGCCAUGACCUGAAAACAGAUAAGGUAAACAAUCCAGACUCCUCCGCCGUCCGCGCCUCGAGGCCACGACCCGGACUCAUCCAUCAAAGGCCAGCUGUUUCGCCUCCGCCUGCUCGUGGCCUGUCCUCACCGCCCGUUUGCUGGAACGCCGACCACCGUGUUGAGCUACUAACCGUCGAGCCCUGCCCCUCAGCCGUUGUUGCCGCGGGCUGCUUCUUCAUCCUCAAGCUGGCAUUGCGCCUUUUCUUCCACUUCAAACCCGCCACCGGACCGGUGCCGGGCCGCCCCGGACCUCUGCGGCUUCCACCUCCGUCGUCUCGUCACGCCGGGUUACUGCCGUCACACCCGAAGCUGCAUCCGUGCCGCCGUGCUUUCGAUUGCCGGCCUGGGUCCUGACGUUGCCGCCGCUGCACUUUUGAACCGCCAUGCCACCGGAUCACCUUCUGCCUCCGUCAAACCUACAUCUACUAUGCUUGCUUGUUGAACCGACCGGUCGUGGCGCGUCUUGGCACGCCCGCGCCGGUUCUACAUCCGCGCCCUCAACGCCGUGGCCUCGGGCCUCCUCUACAAAUCGCCAGCGGGCAACCCCGCGGCCGUCGUUGGACCGCCCACCGGUCUUCACUGCAGGCUUGCCUUCGAGACCAUCACGGAGCCGCUGCGCCUCGCCACGAGAGCCAUCUCUGCUGUUGCUGUAAAUUGCCUCAAUCCGCUGCUCCUGCCGUGGCUCUCAUCUUCAAAUCGCUUCAAACCGCCGAGCCGCCUCAAUGCCUCUGAGUCGCGUUCGUAGACUCACCGCGAGCCGCCGCGCUGGGUUAACCCGACCGCAAGUCGGCCCUACCUCGCAGGCCUCCGCUUCAAGCCGCCUCAGCUUUGACCCCGCGACACUCGCUCCUCUAUUGAAACCUCACCUCACGUCGAGCUGCCGUGGCGCGUGGCCGUCGGGUCGCCCUGUUUUCAACGCCGAGUUCCACUGGUCACCACACCUCAAGUGGCCGUCCAUUUGCAAGUCGCCUUGUGUCUGUCGCGAGCGCCCGCGAUCUGGAAUCGCAUGGCCUCGCCCGUCCGCGGAGAGUCGCCCUGCCGGUCGAUUUCAAGUUGCCACUGUGAACCUCCCUAUCACCGUGAACUGCCCCUGCUGGAGUGGCCUCGAGCAGCCCAUCUCCGAGCCAUCACCGGGGCCUCACUUCGUCAUGCGCGACCAGUCCCGUGGUCUCGAGCCGCCGUCUCCAAACCGCCGCGACCCUUGGCCGCCUCAAAUCGCCACAAUCGCUGCACCAGGCCGGCCUGGGUCUGUUGCAAGAUGCAAAUCACAAGAGUCGCCGCUGCUAGACUCCGCCUCUGCCACAACCUGUCGUUGCCUUCCUGACCCGCCGGUUUUCUCCGGGUCACCGUCGCCGCUGCACCAGACCGUCGCUUCAACUGUCGACCCGGACGAGGACUGGGACGGGGGUUGGAUUCGGAAUACACUAUCAUCGCCCCGUUCCGACUUCCGAGCCGCCUUGCGACCCUGCCGUGUCAAGCCGCCAACCUCGCCGUGGCUCACCUCAACUGUAACCUGCCUCGCCGGGUCAUCAUCCAACAGGGUUCUGGUCUGCUGCCAUUGAAAGUCCUGUCCAUGACAGCACAACUCCAACCUGAUGGUUCUGUAGUUUGUUUACGAUCAAGUCAGAUGCGGUCAAUACCUGUGGCGCUUAUAUCUCAACAUGUUGCUAACAAAAAAACCAGUUAUGGAGACAUCAUACGGUCCAGGCUUCAGCAAGAAGGAUUUGCUUUCAAAGGUUCAGUGUGCCAGUGUCCCGAGGGAAUUAGACGGGAUAUUACAAUGAAGUCACAUAAAUCAGGACGGAGAGAGUAGGACUUAGUAAACCGGCUCACAGUUAAGACGGGGAUAUAC